UGUCGGUCUCACUGUAGACGAAGUUCGCUUGGCGUUUAAUGUCAAAACCGAUCUGAAAAAGCUGGAGGACACCAUGAUUAGCAUUAAAGCUGUGCUCUUGGAUGCCGAGCACAAACAGCAUCAAAGUGAAAAGCUGCGCCUCUGUAUGCGGAAGCUCAGAGGCAUCUUCUACGAUGCUGAGAACGUUAUUGACGAUUUCAAGUGUGAAGCUCUCCGCAAACAGGACGCCGUCAAUCAUCCCAACAUCAACAACUUAAAGGUGCGACUUUUAGGAUCCUGUUGUUUGCCUCUUUCAUUCUCUUCAUUUUCUCUUUNNNNNNNNNNNNNNNNNNNNNNNNNNNNNNNNNNNNNNNNNNNNNNNNNNNNNNNNNNNNNNNNNNNNNNNNNNNNNNNNNNNNNNNNNNNNNNNNNNNNUUUUCUCAUCGGAUUUGUGGUCCCGAAACACUGUUCCGAUACCUCAAAUUUGGGCCAUUACAACUCUCCCCCCUUUUUAGGAUUUUCGUCCUCGAAAAUCUUACCAGUAAAGAGAUUCGGGUAUUGCUUCCUCAUUGUCUCUUCCGGUUCCCAUGUUGCUUCCUCAAUCCCGUGCUUUUGCCAUAGCACUUUCACCAGAUUUACCUUUUUGUUUCUAAGCUCCUUUGUUUCUCGUGCUAAUACUUUAACCGGUUCUUCAUUAUAAGUCAUAUCCGGCUGAAUUUCUACUUCUGUUGGAGUAAUAACAUGUGAAGGAUCUGAUCGAUACCGUCGUAGCAUAGAUACAUGAAAUACAUUAUGAAUUUUGUCGAAUUCCGGUGGUAAAGCCAAUCGGUAAGCAACUGGUCCAAUUCUUUCUAUAAUCUCAUAUGGUCCGAUAAAUCUUGGACUCAAUUUACCCUUUCGACCGAACCGGAGAACUUUCUUCCAAGGAGACACUUUUAAGAAUACUUUAUCACCCACCUGAAAUUCAAUCUCCCUUCGUUUAAGAUCGGCGUAUGACUUCUGACGAUCGGAAGCUGCUUUUAAACUAUCUCGAAUCAGCCUUACUUUUUCUUCUGUUUCCCGGAUCAAAUCAACCCCGUGUAUUUUCUUUUCACUGAGCUCUGUCCAAUAUAACGGUGUUCUACAUUUUCUACCAUACAAAGCGUCAUACGGAGCCAUUUUAAUACUAGACUGAUAACUGUUAUUGUAAGCAAAUUCAAUCAAAGGUAGAUAUCUUUCCCAAUUACCUUGCAACUCUAAUACGCAACAUCGGAGCAUAUCUUCCAAUACCUGAAUUACACGCUCAGAUUGGCCAUCUGUCUGAGGAUGAAAUGCAGUACUGAAAUACAACUGAGUACCCAAAGCUUAUUGUAAUUUGUUCCAGAAACGAGACGUAAAUCGGGGAUCUCUGUCUGAUAUAAUGGAGACAGGCACUCCAUGUAGUCUAACAAUCUCAGAUAUAUACAAUUCAGCCAAUUUAUCUAAAGAAUAAUCCAUACAUACUGGGAUAAAGUGCGCGGACUUUGUCAAUCGAUCGACAAUUACCCAAAUGGCAUCUUUCUUCUUUGGAGACAUCGGCAACCCAGAUACAAAAUCCAUAGUGAUUCUUUCCAUUUCCAUUCCGGUAUAGUGAUUGGCUGAAGCAACCCCGAAGGUACCUGAUGUUCAGCUUUAACCUGCUGACAUACUAAACAUCUUGAUACAAACUCAGAGAUAUCACGUUUCAUACCCGGCCACCAAUACNNNNNNNNNNNNNNNNNNNNNNNNNNNNNNNNNNNNNNNNNNNNNNNNNNNNNNNNNNNNNNNNNNNNNNNNNNNNNNNNNNNNNNNNNNNNNNNNNNNNAAUUCCUAAGAACAAAUUAAUAAAAUAUAAAUGUCAUGAAUUACUAUACAGAAAAACCACAAAAUUACAGCCUAAGCAAUAAUCUCAUUUGUCUUUUCAUUGGAUUUGGAUUUUAUUUUAUUCAGCUGUUUGAAUUUGGAUGCUAACUACAUUUCUUAAUAUAAUAUAUGACAUAAAUAUGAAAAUAAUAAUAAUGAAGAGCGGUGUAAUAUGAAUUAUUAAUAUAUUUAAAAUUUAUAAAUACAUGUAGAUUGAGUCUUAAUUUGAUUGAUAUCGGUAUUGUUGUCAGUAUAAGAGAAUGUGCGUUAAAGCACAUUAUCUUUUUAUUUAAGAGUUGGAGAAAGGCUCCAUGAGUUCGAGUUGUUUUAUAAUAUAUUUUUUUUCAAUAAAUAAAGCUGAAAUUAGUUAAAGCAUUAAUUUAUUAUUAAUCCAAAUAUAAUCAAAGGUAUUAAGCUGUUCUGUGGCAGCUGCAUUUGUUAAGGUUUGGGAGAAAUUUUUUGUAACACCCCUUACCCGAGACCGUUUCCGGAGUCGAGCACGAGGCAUUACUUAGCUUAUCUUACCAAUUCGGAGCAUAAAAACUAGGAUUGAAAAUUUAUUUCACUAUUUACAGCAAAUCUGUCCAAUCGCGCAGCAGUUACUAAAUUAAUUAUAACUUGAGCUACAGAACUCGAAAUUUAAUUCCGUAAAUUUUCCCUGAAACUAGACUCAUAUAUCUACUCACCAUAAAAUUUUUAAAAUUUUUGGUUCAGCCAAUUAGUACAGUUUAUUAGUUAAAGUCUCCCCUGUUUCACCAUUCGACUAUUCUGACCUCUUGUUACUAAAAAUAAGUUUUCUCACUGUAGGAUUUUCAUAUGAAGUUCUUACUUGUUUCUACAGAAAAUAGACUCAACAAGCUUUAAUUCCAUAUAUCAUUCACCCUCUAAUUCAUUUUAUACUAUCUUGGGUGAUUUUUCAAAUUCACGUCACUGUGCUGCCUGAAUUCUGUUUCUUUGCAAAAUUUUAUCCUUUCAUGAUUUCCAUGCAUAAUUUAUCACCUAAUCUUUCAUAACAACAAACACCUUCAUCCUUAACCAUUUUAAUGACCAUACAUCAUCAAAUACUUACACAUCACUCAUUAGCAAAAUCAUCAUUACAAACAUACAAAAUAACUAAAUCCCUAUACAUGCCAUAACUCAAACGUGUUUCGAUAUAAAAUACCGAGCAGUUGUAGUUGAUAGUGUGGACGAUCUCCGACUUCUUUAGGAUCCUUGAAGUAGAUUUGCAAUACUAUAAGAGAAAGAGAAAUAAAAGAAGUAAGCAUAAAGCUUAGUAAGUUUACUAGCAAAUAAAUAACAAUAUUUAACUUAAAUAAUUAAACUCAAUGUCUAUAUCUCUAGUUUACUCUUUAGUUAAUCUCAUACUAGUUCUCUUACUUGUUUACUUAGAAUACUUGUGUGCAUAACUUACUCAAUCCUUGCUGCAUCGUUGAACAUCAAUUGAUAGUAUAAUAAGUUCUUAAGUCUUACAACUUACCUGAGCUUGCCAUUUAUGCUUUAAACUGAACUUUCAUGAACAUGAUUCAUUUACAAGCCCGUUGAGCUACAUUGGAAUAAUAAGGAUACUCGGGUCUCUUCUGAUAAUAACAUGCCAAAGCCAUGUCCCAGACAUGGUCUUACAUGGGAUGUUCUCAUGUUGGUGCCCAUGCCAUGUCCCAGACAUGGUCUUAUAGGGGACCUCUCAUCUCGGUGCCAACGCCAUGUCCCAGACAUGGUCUUACAUGGGACCUCUCGUCUCGGUGCCCAUGCCAUGUCCCAGACAUGGUCUUACAGGGGACCUCUCAUGAUCUUAAGGAUGCCAAUGCCAUGUCCCAGACAUGGUCUUAUAUGGGAUCUCUUUACCCAAAUGUCAUGACAUUCGUAUCCAGUACCAUCCUUAUGUAUCAACGGGACUUUCAAAUUUUAAUUCUCUAUCAUCUCAUGCUUGGAUCAUCAUCAAAUAAAUUCAUAAAAUAAAUUCAUAAUUGCUGGAAAUUAACAUCAUUGAUAAUAAAUAUUAAAAUAUUGCAUUUAUUUACCGUAAACUUACCUCGGUACCAAUUAUAGCCAAAUUCACCAACUUAGUCUUCAACUUUAUUCUUCCCUUUGUCUAACCUCGAGUUUCGUACUUCUUGAUCUAAAAUAGUAAAUUUAACUUAUUUGAUAAUCACAUUCAUCAAAACAGCCCUCGACUCUAACAUUUUUAAAAUUACAAUUUUGCCCCUAAACUUUUACAUAAUUACAUUUUUGCCCCAAGGCUCGGAAAUUAAACUUCAUCUCUUAUUCUUAUGUUUUAUAACAUUCUGAACAUUUUUCCCUUCUAUGGUAACAUCAAAUUCCCACUCUAACAUGUACUUAUGAACAUUAGGUAUUUUUACCGAUUAUGUCGUUUUACUCGUUUGCACUUAAAAUCGCUUAGCAAAAGUUGUUUAACAUAAUUUAUAGCUUCAUAUUCUAUCAUAAAACAUCAAAAUAAACACUUUUCACCUAUGGGUAUUUUUCCAAAUAUAAACCCUAGGCUAAAUUAUUGCUAGAAUAAGCUAAAUUAAGCUACCGGGAUCUCAAAAACGUAAAGAACAUUAAAACGGGGCUUGUGAUCACUUACUAUGGAGCUUGGAAGCUUGAAAACCCUAACUAUGGCUUCCCCCCUUGCUGAUUUCGUUCAUAUGAAGAAGAUGAGCAUAAUUUGUCAUCUUUUUCCCUUUUAAUUCAUUUUAAUUACUAGAUUACCAAAUUGCCCCUAACUUAAAAAUUUUCUAUUUCACUUAUCUCAUGUCCAUUUUUGUCUACCAAGUUACCAAUGGUAUAAUUACCAUAUAAGGACCUCCAAUUUAAAGUUUCAUAACAAUUGGACACCUCUAACAUGUAGAACUCAACUUUUGCACUUUUACAAUUUAGUCCUUUUGACUAAAUUGAGUGCCCAAACGUCGAAAUUUUCGAACAAAAUUUUCACGAAAUCAUUUUGUGAAAUUGUAGACCAUAAAAAUAUAAGAAAAAUAAAAUUUUUCUCAUCAGAUUUGUGGUCCCGAAACCACUGUUCCGAUAACCUCAAAUUUGGGCCAUUACAUUUUUAGAGUUGACAAACAUAUUAUUUAGUUUAUAUAGUUAUUUUAAAAUUAAUAAAAAUAUAUACAUUUGGAAUGAAUCUGAAUAAAUUAUUAUUCAGAUUUAUUUAAAUUUAGAUAACUGAUUGUCCAGAUUCAUUCUAUAUGAGUGUAAAAGUUAAAACCAUAAAAAAAAAUUUAAAAUUAUAAAGAGAUUCAAAUAUGUAAAAGAUUAAAAAAAUUAUAAAAAAUUAAUUAAAGCGCACAUUUAGAAUGAACCAGAGCCGUCCUCGGGUGUCUUCUUGUAGUGCUACGUGCUGCGUCGGGUGAGGGUAUAACAACACUAAUCAAUUAAAAUUAUGUAUAAUCAACAAAAAAUAUUUAUUGUGAUUAAUUUCUUUUAUUUUCUGAUUUUUAAAAUUGAUAGGGACUAAAUUGCUCAAAAUUAUUGAGAAGGACCAAUUUUCUCACCAUCAAAAUUGAGAGGGACCGGAGAUAUGUUUUUACCAAUCUACAUAAAAAGCCCUUCAAUAUAUUGAAAUUUAAUUUCACUUGCAAAUUGUGUCAUCAGGCGUUUGUAGUCCAACGGUUAGGAUAAUUGCCUUCCAAGCAAUAGACCCGGGUUCGACUCCCGGCAAACGCAUUUGAAAUUUUUCACCUUUUUUCCUUGUUCUCCGAUGGAAUGAAGGUGGUAACUGGUGAGUUAGUGUUUGGUGGAUGAAAACAUGAGGGCCAUUUGCCUACCAAAACGAAAUCACACACACACAAAAAGAGAAGCAUUUGUGAUAUUCGAAAGAGUUUGCUAAAUUCUGUAGUAUAACCCCCCACCUCUACACAUCUAACCUUCUAACAAUUUCUCCUUUUUUCUAUUCAUCAAAGCUUCACCAUUUAAUUUCUCUAAGGAGAGAGAUGAAAAAAGAGUAGGGAGUGUGAAAAUGGUUGAAUGAUUUACGUAAUAAUUUUCAAAUGUAAACAUCAUAUGAAUAAAAUAAUAGUUGCUCUUACUCUUUAUAUUUCUUUAGGUGCUCGACGUUAGUAUCCCAAUAAAUAUUCAAAUCCAUAAUAAGUCUUUAAUAAGUUAUGUGUUAUGGUUUUAGAGACGAGCCAUGAAUUAGUUGUGUAUUGGAGUUGAUUUUGAGAUAGAAGUGUUUAAACCACUUUCAACUUAUAAGUUACUGUUUAUCGACAAAAUUAUAAAGUAAAAAGUUUGAAGUUAAAAAUACAUCUUCCAUCAUAACACUGUAGAAUAAAGUUAUCUUUAGUAUAAAAUUUCUCUAUUUUCAAUACUUUUUUGGUAAGUUGGUAUUAAGAAUGAAAAUGACAUUAAAUCAGACAAAUACCAUAUAUGAAAUGAAGCAACAAAGAAUAUCACAAAUUUUGCUUAAUAGUGAAAAGGGCUACCCAUGUUUUUGGAUUAAGAUACUGUCAAAGUUGAAGGGGUAUUAGAGAUUUCAUAAACCCGGACACUCUUGUCUAGUGUGGCUCAAACAAGAAUAUGCUUAUCAGGUAUUUUCUCUAUCUUAAUUGCCUUCAUAAUUAUUGUUACCAUUCGAUUUGUCUAAUAUUAUUGAACCGCAAGAUGACAGUUCGAUGACUGAUAAUUGAUAAAAAAAACUCCCUUGUGAUAGCAUGAAAAGAAGGCAAAUAAACCGUUUCGAUAAUGAUUGUUGCCAAAUAUGCAAAUGCCCAUGAAUCUGCAGUCAAAGCAAAAGCUGAAAUUUUCAUUUUUCUUCGAGUACGUCUAUCCUAUAUAUAACUAUACAACUAUGCUCUUUUAAGUAACUACUAAUCUCUGUAUCCAGUGGCGAAUUUAGGGGGGUUGGCAAGGUCCUGCUCCCUAAAAUGUAAAAUUGUUAUCUAGGCCUUUAAGUUUUUUUUUAAAAAAAUUUUAAAUUAAUAAAAAUAAAAUUACAUUUUGACCCUCUAAAAUUAUAAAAAUUUAAUUUAAUCCUUUAAAAAUUAUAAAUAUAUAGAUUAUAAAAAAUUAAAAUUUCAUUCAGCCCAAAAAACUGUUCCGGUUUCGCUCAUGUCUGUACCAUCCAUUAGCUAAUCUUUCUUCUUCUUCUUUUUUGUUUGAAAUUACAGUUCUAAUUGAAAUAAUUAAAUUUAUUAAAUUUAAUUUUAUUAUUUCUAAAAUUUUAUGCGACAAAUAUAUGGUAAGAUGUAUAAUAUCAUGCCAAUUUAUUAUUCUCACAUAAUACUCACAAAAGACGUUAUUUUUUUAAUUUUAUGAAUUUAACAAUUAUCGUUUGAGCUAUGAUUAAAAUUUUAAAAUUCGAAAAGUAUAGAGACUAAACAUAAUCGAAUUGGAAAAAAGAAACUAAAUCUAUAACUUAUACAUAGUACAAGACUAAUAGCAAUAUUGAAGUUGAAUUACGAUCAUUUGUUACGAUGUCUUACCAUUUUGUUCUUGUAAAAAAAGGAUGAAAUAUGAUCCCAAAUCUUGAAUAAUGUAAUUAAUUAGAACAUGAAUUAAUUUCUUUACCAUGUCACUGCCAAUCAAGUCAUAACAUAAGGUUUUUUAUUAUAUUUUUUCUCUCCCUUUAAAAUUAAUAUUAGAUAAAUCCUUGAUAUUGAAUAAGAUAAGGUUUUUUAUUGUGUUAAUUAAUGUAAUCAAUAGAAUAAUCAUAUCAUUUGUCUUAUUAAAGUUUCUCGCCAUUGCAGCGUCAAUCUCUGUAACCACCUAGAUUUAUAGCAUCUUCAAUCACAACUUUGUCGCCUUCAUCGUACGGUUCACGUUCAAGAACAUAAAAAUAAAGCACUUCACCAAUCAAUAGUAGCCGUUGAGAUGUAAACCGGUAGUUCACCCCCCAAUUUAUAUCCUCAAAUUAGAAUAUUAAAGUUGGCUAAAUUUUUUAUGCAUUUUUUUAUGAAAUCGAAUGGAUGAUUAAAUUAGUUACAUCAUUAAUUUUCAGUCUAUCGUGUUGAAAUUAAAUUCAUAAAAAUUAAAAAAAAUAUAUAAAAUCUAAUUUAAUUGAUUUUUUAACCAAUUUGUAGUUGAAUUGAUUGUUUAGAUUAUUUUAAAUUGAUAUAAUCGAUGGAUUCUCUAUCCAUGUGAUUUGUCCAGCUUUCAAAACACUAAACUCGAGUAAUAGGUACGAAGAAACCCACCCCGGAUCCACUGGCACAAAUNNNNNNNNNNNNNNNNNNNNNNNNNNNNNNNNNNNNNNNNNNNNNNNNNNNNNNNNNNNNNNNNNNNNNNNNNNNNNNNNNNNNNNNNNNNNNNNNNNNNNNNNNNNNNNNNNNNNNNNNNNNNNNNNNNNNNNNNNNNNNNNNNNNNNNNNNNNNNNNNNNNNNNNNNNNNNNNNNNNNNNNNNNNNNNNNNNNNNNNNNNNNNNNNNNNNNNNNNNNNNNNNNNNNNNNNNNNNNNNNNNNNNNNNNNNNNNNNNNNNNNNNNNNNNNNNNNNNNNNNNNNNNNNNNNNNNNNNNNNNNNNNNNNNNNNNNNNNNNNNNNNNNNNNNNNNNNNNNNNNNNNNNNNNNNNNNNNNNNNNNNNNNNNNNNNNNNNNNNNNNNNNNNNNNNNNNNNNNNNNNNNNNNNNNNNNNNNNNNNNNNNNNNNNNNNNNNNNNNNNNNNNNNNNNNNNNNNNNNNNNNNNNNNNNNNNNNNNNNNNNNNNNNNNNNNNNNNNNNNNNNNNNNNNNNNNNNNNNNNNNNNNNNNNNNNNNNNNNNNNNNNNNNNNNNNNNNNNNNNNNNNNNNNNNNNNNNNNNNNNNNNNNNNNNNNNNNNNNNNNNNNNNNNNNNNNNNNNNNNNNNNNNNNNNNNNNNNNNNNNNNNNNNNNNNNNNNNNNNNNNNNNNNNNNNNNNNNNNNNNNNNNNNNNNNNNNNNNNNNNNNNNNNNNNNNNNNNNNNNNNNNNNNNNNNNNNNNNNNNNNNNNNNNNNNNNNNNNNNNNNNNNNNNNNNNNNNNNNNNNNNNNNNNNNNNNNNNNNNNNNNNNNNNNNNNNNNNNNNNNNNNNNNNNNNNNNNNNNNNNNNNNNNNNNNNNNNNNNNNNNNNNNNNNNNNNNNNNNNNNNNNNNNNNNNNNNNNNNNNNNNNNNNNNNNNNNNNNNNNNNNNNNNNNNNNNNNNNNNNNNNNNNNNNNNNNNNNNNNNNNNNNNNNNNNNNNNNNNNNNNNNNNNNNNNNNNNNNNNNNNNNNNNNNNNNNNNNNNNNNNNNNNNNNNNNNNNNNNNNNNNNNNNNNNNNNNNNNNNNNNNNNNNNNNNNNNNNNNNNNNNNNNNNNNNNNNNNNNNNNNNNNNNNNNNNNNNNNNNNNNNNNNNNNNNNNNNNNNNNNNNGAAAGGUCUCCCUCUGAAGACUGUUGACCUUAUUUACAAAAUGGGCUUUUAAUGAUGGUGAUGAGAGACAUUAUCCAAAUCUCAUUAGAAUCGGGGAGGAGAUUGUGAAAAAAUGCAAAGGGGUUCCUUUGGCAGUAAGAACAUUGGGAAGCCUACUGUUUUAGAAAACGGAUGAAUCUGAUUGGAUCUAUAUACGAGAGAGUGAAAUAUGGAGAGUUGAGCAACAUGAAAACGAUAUUUUACCAGUGUUGAAGUUGAGUUACAAUCAUUUGCCAUCUCAUUUGCAACGAUGUCUUGCAUUUUUGUCCUUGUACAAAAAGGAUGAGCUCUAUGUUAGUGAUAGAGUUAUCUGUCUUUGGAUGGCAAAUGGACUCCUUGAGCAUCCAAAGCAAAAUCAAGAGUGGGAGGAUGUUGGCAAACGAUAUUUGAAUGAAUUACUGUCAAGGUGCCUCAUCCAAAUGGAGCAGGAUUUUUGGUCGUAUUUUACCUUCAAAAUGCAUGAUCUGGUACAUGAUCUUGCAUUAGAUGUGUCUCAAAAAGAAUGUAAAACAGUGAAUUCCGAAGCAGAAACGGUUGAUGAAAAUGUUCGACAUUUAUUAUUAUGUGAUGGGAAGUUGGUUGGAGUUCCACGUGUUUUGGAGGAAAUGAAAAAUGUUCGAACAGUAAUCAUCCAGGAUGCUUCAGUGGAAUCAAAGACUACUUAUGAAUCACUUACAAAUCUGUCUCUCCAAUUUCAAGUAUCUACGAGCAUUAGGAUUAAGGAAGUCACCAUUGAUGGCUUUACCAAAUUCCAUUGGUACCUUGAAGCACUUACGAGACCUUGACUUGGGCGGAUGUAGGAGUAAACGUGAACUCCCGAGGUCUUUCGAUAAGCUUCGCAGAUUGCAAUCGUUAAAUUUGGGAGGUACUGGUUUGAAGCAGUUGCCUGACAGCGUGCAAAGGUUGAUUGAGCUUAGACAUCUAGUAAUAACCAUUAAAACUACGCAUUUGAAAGAAAUACGAGCAGGAUGUUGGACUUCUCUUCAAUACUUGGAAUUGAGGUGCUGUAUGGAAUUAGAAUGUUUACCUGAAGGAAUGCAGUAUCUGAAGUCACUUCGGACACUUGUCCUGAAGCACUGUGAUAGUCUUGUCUCAUUGCCACGGAGCCUGAAAUUCCUAAGCAAGUUAGAACACCUUGAAAUAGUUGGUUGCCUUCGAAUCAAUUUGAAAAUGGAACUAGAAGAGGAAGAAAAAGACCUUCAGUUGAGCCUUAAAACUCUCUCUCUCACUCUUCGUAUUACCUGCCUUAAGAGAUUUGCCACGAUUGCUUCUUCAAGGAUCUUCUUCCACUUUGCAGCAAUUACGAAUUCAGUUUUGUCAAAACUUGUCCGUUCUACCAGCAUGGCUACCGAAUCUCACUUCUCUUCAAAAACUUGAGAUUUUUAAUUGCUUUAAUUUGUGGGAUCUACCGGAGGGAAUAGACCGCCUCACCAACCUUAGAGAAUUGAGAAUUUACGGAUGUCCGGAGUUGAGCAAAAGAUACAGAGAAAAUGGGGGUGAAGAUUGGCACAAAAUUGCUCACAUCCAAAAGGUUGUUAUUUGCUAAUGAAGAAUGAGGUAUGUGGUAAAAUUUUAAUUUCUCUAUCAGAUUCGAUUCCAUAUUAUCUUUCAGUUGUAAUUCUAAGAAGUGAGCUGUUGCUUUGGAUAUGUAUCAACUUUUAGCUUUAUGCAUAUUUACCUUUUCUCUUUAUGGUUUAGCAUCAACUAAUUGUGUUUGUAUUUUUUAGUUUAAUUUUAUUAAUUGUUUAUUUUGUGAUGGAGAAAUGAUGCGGUUGUUAUAAAAUUGCGUAGUAGAGUUGAGAAAUGACAAGAAAGAAAAUAAAACAUUUGAAAAAAAUGUACACAUCUCUCUCUUAUUCUCUCUCCAUUCACCAUUCCAAUUUGAAAGAAAUAAUUUUUCAAAAAAAAGUACCGAGGAUCUACACACUAUGAAAGUAUCCACAUUCGCAUUGGUUUUUUCUGAAGAUUGAACACAAUUUAGUUAGUUCAGUUGGAACAAAUUGCCGUUAUUUUUGAGUUUGUCUUAAUAUAUAUAAAAGUAAGAAUUUAAUUUUUUUUUGAAUCACGAUAACAUCCUUUAAUGUUCAUUUAAUUACUAAAUAAACAUUAAAUAAAUAAUUCAUUUUUCUAAAAAAAUAAUAGAAUUUUUCUUCAUUUGAACUAUAUGGUUAAAAAUAUUAGAUAAAAUCAUAUCAAUAAUUCUUUUUUAUAAUAGAGUUCUUAUUGAUUUGAGUUACACAGUUGAGUGUAUUAAUUAUUAAUAAUAUAUAUUAUUUUAAAUCAAUUAUCAUUUAAUUAGUGUUACCUUUAGCAUGGAAUAAAUGGUUAGUUAGCUAAUCAGCAUUUGAAUCAUUGUUCACUAAAAGCAGUACGAAAGAACUGAACUUUACCGCAGCUGGCUUGUAGAUGCCAACAAUAGCUCCCAAGGUAACCUGUUCAUUAAAUUAUAGUUAUAAUGUAAAAUUCAAUACAAAAUGCAGAGAGUUUUAUCGAAUAAACUAAGAAAAUCAACACACACCCACACUGGGAAAAGAGUUGUCGAAGUUUCAAUUAUUCUCUCGUACUGGUUCAUCCCUUUCGGUGUCGGACUAUCUCCGGAAACAUUAGCAGCAGCCUUGCACUUAACUUUGGAGUUCCUGGAUAUAAAGAUCAUAUUAGCAAGCAAAUCCAUGAAUUGGAGCUAAAAUGACAUGAACUACCAACUUCAUAUGUUGCUCAGAAUCUUCAUUUCCCCUAAAUCACCCCUACACUCAAAUCGGACAUGUAUUGGAUAUAAGUAUGGGAGUAUGAUACCACAAAUAUAUGGGAAAAAUUAGAAAAAAAGUGAGCAUAUUUGGGCAUAUACUCAUACGUGAAACUCACCUUCCAGUCCACGUAGGUGAAGGGGCAAUAGUAAGAAAAAAAGGAAAAAAGGUAAAUGGGAAGUUUUAAACAAACAUGGGAGACAGGUUAACAAAAAUCAAGCUAGCGACCUCACAAGGUUCCUGAAGGCAAACUACUUCACUAACCAACAAUUUGUUCUUUUUAACAGUCAACUCUAUGAUUGUUGAAUCAGCCAGAUUUACUUCCUUGGGAUGAUCAAAGCAAUGAAUUUAACAGUGAAAAAUGCAGUCUCGAGAUUUUAUAAGAAAGAAAUCGCAUUUAAUCAAACACCUUGUGCUCAAAAAACUACCUUGAAUCUAGAAUAAUGGAGGAAGGGGCUAAAAGAGCAGCAAGGGGACUAUUUGGCUUGCUUUGCAUUGACCAACCAUUUCCAUACAAAGAAAUCCCAGCUCUAACAUCUGAAAACUUCACAUUCAAAGAAAAUAAGAAAAAAAUCACAAACAAAUCCAUUGGAUAAACAAUAAAAAAUGAAGUCAAAUCAACAAAGACAAAGCAAAGUUACCUAGCUAAGCUGACAGUACCCUUCUUCCAGGAAUCAAGACCAUGGUCUUCUACGUAUUACAGCUUCAUAUACAUGCAGAUUGGUAUCUGUGACGACAAAUCUAGACAAAGCUGCCAUCGUUAAAAGACAAAAUAAGGAGGUAUAAUCUAAACAAGACACGAUUUUCAAGGGGUUAUAUUUGAUUUCAAGCGUUGAAUUAUGAAGGUUUUUUUAAAAUUAAACCGAGGUAUACAAGAAAAUGGGAUCAAUCCCAACGGUAUCGGUUAAGUCAUCAUCUUGUUGCUGCUGUCUUCUGGUUUUCCCUGUUGACAAUUUCAGUGAUAUUUUUGUCGUUAGGUGAACUUGUGAGACCGACGAUUAAACCGGAAAUAUGUUCUGCUGUUUCUGAUAUGGUGAAAUACUGUUAUUAGUCCUUUUAAUAAGCAUAACUUGUGGAUUUAGUCCAAAUACUUUAAUUUGGUCAGUUUUAGUCCCACAGUUUUCCAAUUGAUCAAUUUUACUUUAGUCUAUUUAGUUAAAUUAUGUUAUUAGUCUUGCACUAUGCGUAAGGUCGUAGAUUUAGUCUACUUCUCUAAUUUGAUCAUUCUUAGUACCUAAAAUUUUUGAAUUUUAAAGUUUCAAUUUUGACGCAAAUAACAACUAUUAAAGUCCUUAAUAAACUUUUUUGUGAAUAAUAUGUGGAAAUGCGAUAAUAUGUUUAACACAUAAGGUUUUAGAAAUAGCAAAACUUAAUGAAUUUAACAUCUAUUGUUUGAUCAGGACUAAAAUAUUAAAAUUCAAAAGUACAAUGACUAAAAAUGACCAAAUUAAAGUAUAAGGAUAAAAUUCAUGACUUAUAUAUAGUAUAGGGACUAAUAACAAAAANNNNNNNNNNNNNNNNNNNNNNNNNNNNNNNNNNNNNNNNNNNNNNNNNNNNNNNNNNNNNNNNNNNNNNNNNNNNNNNNNNNNNNNNNNNNNNNNNNNNNNNNNNNNNNNNNNNNNNNNNNNNNNNNNNNNNNNNNNNNNNNNNNNNNNNNNNNNNNNNNNNNNNNNNNNNNNNNNNNNNNNNNNNNNNNNNNNNNNNNNNNNNNNNNNNNNNNNNNNNNNNNNNNNNNNNNNNNNNNNNNNNNNNNNNNNNNNNNNNNNNNNNNNNNNNNNNNNNNNNNNNNNNNNNNNNNNNNNNNNNNNNNNNNNNNNNNNNNNNNNNNNNNNNNNNNNNNNNNNNNNNNNNNNNNNNNNNNNNNNNNNNNNNNNNNNNNNNNNNNNNNNNNNNNNNNNNNNNNNNNNNNNNNNNNNNNNNNNNNNNNNNNNNNNNNNNNNNNNNNNNNNNNNNNNNNNNNNNNNNNNNNNNNNNNNNNNNNNNNNNNNNNNNNNNNNNNNNNNNNNNNNNNNNNNNNNNNNNNNNNNNNNNNNNNNNNNNNNNNNNNNNNNNNNNNNNNNNNNAUUGAUCCAUUUAGUAGUAAAAAAACUAAUUUGAUCAUGUAUCAAUGAUAGAGGGGCCUCUUAAGUACAUUCACCGGCUAAAUAGUACCAUGUAAUAAUAGUCUUGUGUAAUUUUUAAUAGAUUUGUCUAAGGGUUGGAUUACUCAUCUAAAUUUAAAGUCUUGUUCGAUAUUUAGGAGUAGGGAUGUUCAAAUUUCGGUUAAAAUCAAAUUAACCUUCCGAACCGAUCUAAUUUGAUUAAUCUGUCAAUUAGUCGAUCUAAUUUGAUCGGAGGUCAAUUAAUAAUUUUUUGGAAGUUUGGUUAUCGGUUAAUUCAGUACGAAAUUAGGUAAUUAACCGAACUUAAUAAUUAAUAAUACAAAUUAUAUGUAGCUUUAAUUCAGUUAAAUAAACAUUAUCAAUUUGUUGUUUUUUUAUAUGUUUUAUACUUGUUUUAACCAAAAAUAAAAAAAAUAUAUAAGUUUUGGUUAAUUUGAUUAAUCGACCGAAUUAAUUGAAAGAUUUCAGUUCGGUUAACAAUUAAAUGAUUAAAAAGUUCGAUUAAUUCGAUUAAUACUAAUUCAGUUCGGUUAACCGUUUGAACACCCCUAUUUAGGAGAUUUUGAACAAAAAAUUUAAGUUCAAAAAAAUGAGCUUCACAAAAGAAUAAUAAAAUUAAAAUAUGAGUUGAGUUUGGACUCUAACAUUUAAGGCUCUAGUUUGACUUAGUCCAAUCUAUUUUUAGAUAUUGUCAUAUAUUUUGUAAUUUAUAAUAUAUAAUUUUAAGUUGUUUCUAUUUAAAAUUUUAAUAAAAUAAAAAAAAUUCUUAAAUAUUUAACAAAAAAAUAAACUUUAUAAAAAUUAAAAAUAACUUGGGUGGGUCUAGGCGAAGCCACAAAAUAUUGUUGGAAGGUCGAAAUUAAUUUGUAUAUUUUUAUGAUAAUAAAAUACAAUUUUACCAUUUAAUAGUCCAUAUCUUUAUAAUAUUUAAACAAUUAAAUUAAAUAUUUAUAUUUUUAAAUCACUAAUGUAAAAAUUUACUAUUGAUGCGGCCUUAGGACCUGAUGAGCAGAGCUGGUGUGGCGAAUCCCAAGGUCCGCCGAGCUUCGACUAGUGAGGAAUCAACGUAGCAACAACGCCAACCAACACCCUUGUGAGCAAGGGAGAGGAGAAGCACUUCAAGCCAAAAAGAAACAACAAAAGAGACCCAAGAGGCGGUUGAAUAACCAAAGCAUGGGAUGGGCAAACAAAUGUUGGUGAAUUAAUUAGACACUAAAUUAAGAAAUUAUUAAAAGUUUUUUUUUUAAUUACAAAGGGCAUUUUUAUCUCUUUACUUUUUUAUAUAUAAAAUCUAUAAAAAAUAACUUAAAAUAAAUUUAUAAAAAAAUACUUAAAAUUAAGACACCAUGGCAUUUAAAGUUAUACCAUUUCAACAAAAAUUAAAAUGAGGUUUUCUCAUCAAACAACAAUUCAAUAGAGUUAAACCGAAAUACAUAUUAAAAAAUAAACCUUCCUAAUUUCUCUUUAAUUAAUCGAAGUGUAAGGGAAAUGAAUUAACUCAUAAGAACUGAUAGUUAAGCUUAAGCAAUACAGCUUCACAAAGACCUAUAAAUAUUAAGAUGAAUAAAUUGGUGAAAUAUAAGUCCAUUCUCCAUUAUUUUCUUUUGAUAUCUUCACCAACUUAAAACAUUGAAAAAUAUUUCAAAGAAUGAGUGUGAUAUUUGGUAAUAAUUUUAUAGGGUUGCAACCCACCAACAUUGUAACCUACUACAAGUAAAUCCCAAUAACUUUUUAUAAAUAUACAUUCACCUUAAUUUUUCUCACAGUUUAAGAGUAAAUAAAUGAAAAAUAAACCAAGUGGCGACGAAUGAAACAGACCAUGGCAGUAACGAAGAGCGGCUGUCAAAUGCUAGUUAUUACUGAUUGACGAGGUCUUGAAUCGCCUGUUAAUCACAAUUAUUAUAAAUCAAGUGAUAAAUCGGGUCUUAUAAUUAAAAAUAUAAUAAGAACGAAAAUGAUAAUUAUAAAAUAUAAAAUCAAAACGUGUACAUUGUUGUACUUUAUAAUUAUAAAAUGAUAACAAGGAAUACUUAUAUUUGAAUGUAUGACAUAUGCCAUCUAUUUUUUUCAUCUAUAAAAUGGAUGGGAUUUAUUAACUUAACCCAAUUUUAUAUUUUUAAAAAUUAAUACUUAUCAUAUAAGUAGUAAUAUUUUUGGAGGCCACUGAAUACAAUGCAGCUGUCUUUAAAGUUAAAACAGUUCCCUUCCACAUUACGUUCCUCUUUCUUUUAUGGGUUCUCACCGGAAAAUCGUUUCCGGUUCCGACUAGCCACCGAAGGAAACAACGGCAACUUAAAAGAAAACCAUUUCUUUCCUCAUUGUUUUACUACUAAAAUCCCAUCAUGCCGGUCGUGAAUUUUGUCUGUGUUUUUUUAGUUUCAGUUGUGAUGUUUAAUUCGAGAGUAAGCUCAGAACCGGUUGAAGACAAGCAAGCUCUACUUGCUUUCAUUUCGGGAAUUAGACAUGCCGACCGGGUUAAAUGGAAUUCAUCGACCUCAGCCUGUGAUUGGUUCGGUGUUCAAUGCGAUGCCAACCGGUCUUUCGUCUACACUUUACGGCUCCCCGGUGCGGCCCUCAUCGGUUCGAUUCUGCCCAAUACAAUCGGUCGGUUGAACCGACUUCGAGUUUUAAGUCUACGAGCAAACCGUUUGUCCGGUGAGAUCCCUGCCGAUUUCUCCAAUUUGACUCAGCUCCGUAGCCUUUAUUUGCAAGGUAACGAGUUCACCGGUCCGUUCCCACCUAGUGUGACUCGUUUAACUCGUUUGACUCGCCUUGAUCUUUCUUCUAAUAAUUUCACCGGUCCAAUUCCUUUGGGUGUCAACAGUUUGACUCAGUUGACCGGACUCUUCUUGCAAAAUAACAAGUUUUCCGGUUCUCUCCCGAGCAUCGACUCGGACGGUUUAAACGAUUUCAAUGUGUCUAACAACAACCUUAAUGGUUCAAUUCCCGAUUCGUUAUCUAAAUUCCCCGAAUCUUCAUUCGCCGGAAACAUUGGGCUUUGCGGCGGUCCACUCCCGCCAUGUAACCCAUUUCCUCCAUCUCCAUCUCCGACCGAGCCCAUUCCGCCCACAACUUCCGGUCAAAGCUCGAAAAGCCUUCCCACCGGCGCCAUCAUUGCCAUUGCCUUGGGGUCAGCAAUUGUUGCGUUACUGUUAUUACUAUUCCUCAUUAUCUGCCUCCGUAAAUGGAAACGGAAGUCACCAAGGCGGCAGAAGGCGAUACCAUCGACGACACAUGCAAGUCCGGAGGAGGAGGCGGGGACUUCCUCGUCGAAAGAUGAUAUAACCGGAGGCUCAAUGGAAAUCGAAAGGAUGAUGAAUAAUAAGCUCGUGUUCUUCAAAGGUGGCGUUUACAGUUUCGAUUUGGAGGAUUUGAUGAGGGCGUCGGCUGAAAUGUUGGGAAAAGGCAGCACCGGAACGUCGUACAAGGUGGUUUUAGCGGUGGGGACCACGGUGGCAGUUAAACGGUUGAAAGACGUGGCAGUUAGUAAACGAGAGUUCGUAAUGAAGAUGGGAAUGUUGGGUAAAAUCAUGCAUGAAAACGUGGUUCCUUUGAGAGCGUUUUAUUAUUCCGACGAGGAGAAAUUGCUGGUUUAUGAUUACAUGCAUGGUGGUAGCUUGUUUGCGCUGCUUCAAGGUAAAUUAUUUCAUUAUUUUGCUCCUUGCGGCUCAUAUUUGAAAAGAAAAAAAAAUAGGUAUUUUUUGAGCUUAUUAUUAUUUUUAAAAUUAAAAAAUGUAUUUUUUAAUAAUUUAAUAAUAAAAUAAUUACUUUAUAUUAAUUAAAUAUUCUAGUAUCUGUGUCAUAUAUAUAUUAUCAUACUUCAUAUUCUCUUAAUUAUAAGUUCAAGUGAGUAAAUUUUUAAUUAUAAUGUAAUAACUUUAUAGGUAGCAGAAACUCGGUUCGUACACCGUUAGAAUGGGACCACCGGAUAAAAAUAGCCCUAAGCGUGGCUAGAGGCCUCGCGCACCUCCACAGUUCACAAAACAUGAUCCACGGCAACAUUAAAUCUUCCAACAUCCUUCUCCGACCAGACCACGAAGCCUGCAUCUCAGAGUUUGGUCUUAACUCUCUUUUCAACACCAACACUCCACCUAGUCGCAUCGGGGGUUACCAAGCACCUGAAGUAAUUCAAACCCAUAAAGUUACGGUGAAAUCAGACGUUUAUAGUUUCGGGGUGUUAUUAUUGGAAUUAUUAACCGGUAGGGCACCAAUCCAACCAUCAAUAACUGAAGAAGGGUUUGAUCUUCCGCGUUGGGUCCAAUCCGUGGUUCGGGAGGAAUGGGCCGCCGAGGUGUUUGACGCAGAGUUAAUGGCAUACCACAACAUCGAGGAAGAAAUGGUGCAAGCGUUACAGAUUGCAAUGGUUUGUGUCUCAACAGUGCCCGAUCAAAGACCCGUCAUGUCGGAAGUGGCACGUAUGAUCGGAGAUAUGAUCGAUAGAGGGGGAACAAAUGGCGGUACGGCAGCCGCCAUAUGAUCCGCUAAACAAUGAAACAAAAUUCAAAGUGUGUUGACCUUGAGAAGCCAACAAUGGAGUUGAAAGUUUCAAUUAAAAAAAAAAAUCAAUUCCAUUUGCAGGCCAUCUAUAAAACGUUAAAUGCUUGUAUUUGAUUUAUUUUAAUUAAUUAAUUAAUUUUUUUUAAUUGAGAGUUGGAAAGGUCGGCUAAUGUACAAAGUGGAACCCCGGUCGUGCACUGGUUGAUGGGUGAUUACUGAUUAGUUCAUGAUUUUAUUAUUUUAACACUUAAUUAAUCUAAUUAGAAUCUGUUUCAAGGAUGGAAUCAACACCGUUCAAGACCAGAUCAGAGGCCUGGAGAUGUUACGCGUGGCGAAAUGGUGAGCUGGCUAGGCCGGCUUUUUGUCUUUUUCUUUUAUUUAAUUUCUAGAAAAAAAGAAAUGUGAAACAAAAUAGGGUGGAGGGGAAAUUUGAAAAAAUAAAAUAAAAAUCUAUUUUUUGUGGUGUUCAGGUUACUUUUUAUUUAAUUUAGAUGGAUUUCAGUUUUUUUUUAUUUAAAAGAUGAAUACUAUAAUUAAUUGAAUAAAGUCGAAUACAUUCGAGUAUCAAUUUAUAUAAAUUAUAAGUGAUUUUUUUUUCAAAUUUUAUUUUAAUUUGAGUUUCAUCAUAUUAUAUUUAUUCUUAUUUAAGUAUAUUCUAAUUUAAGUUUAGUUGUAUUUUGUAAUGGUUUAUCGUGAUUAUAGCUAUCCAGGUGUGUAUUGUUUAUAAUUAUAAUUUUAUUUGUAUUUAUAAAUUUUUUAAAAAUGUGUUUAAUUGCAAUUGCAAUUUCAAAUAUAUAUAUAAAUUAAUAUGUAUAUCUAAAAUAGUGAAAAAAAUCUUAAAUUUUUUCUUUCUUUUUACGCAAUUUGCUUCUUCUUUUUUGUUUUGUUUAGCAACAGUAUCAACAUUUUAGCUAGCUAUCGCUCGCCAUUUUUUUCCUCCCACCAACCCUCUCCGUCAUUUUUCUCCUCAUUCACUUUAUGUCGUGGCAGAGCCAAAAGGGGUUGGUAGGGACCCCGACCGCCUUAAAAUAGAAAAUUUUCUAUUUAGGCCCUUUAUAAUUUAUAAAAUUUUAAAUUAGUAAUAGUAAAAUUAUAAUUUAGCCCCCCAAAAAUAAUAAAAAUUUGAUUUAAUUCGUUAAAAAUUAUAAAAAUAAAUUAUUAAAAUGAUGAAAUUAUAUUUUUAUUAUCGUAAAAAUAUACAAUUUAAUUCUCACCCCCCAAAAAAUUCAUUUUGGCUCCGCCACUAACUCCAUGUAUCUUCUCUCUUUUUAGUUUGCAAAUAUAUUUUGUGGGUACCUUUAUUAUUUUCACAAGUUGUGAUGGACAAAUGAUGAUGCUUGUCGUUAUUGAAACUCCACCAGCCAUCAGCUGUUUCUCUUGAAAAGUAGGUAGCUCUUCCUUGGUUUCCUAAUCUUUUUCUAUUUUGAGAGGAUUUUAGAAUAAUAAAUGAUUUCAUGAGUUAAUUUGGACUCUUGUUGUCUUAAGUUUUAUAUAUUUUUUAUUUUUAUUAUUUUCCCUUGUUUAAUAAGUCUUCGCUUUUAAAAAUUGUUAUCAUCGUUAACAAAGUUUUGGCUUCAAGCAAAAUGUUAGAGCUAAUACGGAUAUAAACCACAAAAACACAUUAUGAACUCAAUAAAAAUUCAUAUAAUAUGAAUAUAAAAAUAUUUUAAACACAAUUAUAAGAUAAUAAAAUAUACUUAAUUGCUAAAUCUACGAAAUAGAAACAUAAAUAUAUUUUGAGCUUUUACAAGGAUUUAACUUUUGUGUGAUUCAUGAAAAAAAAACCUUAUAACCGAAACCUCAAUCCAAUUAAUUUAUGCAUUUAUCUAUAAUGAAUAUAUUUUAAUCUCAUUUCGAAUUUUAAUAUUAUUUUUAUAAUAUUUUUAUCCAAAUUAAAACUUUUUUUAAAAUAAAUAGUUGUCUAAAAUAGCCAAAUAGGCAUAUUGGGCAUUGGAUUCUGCAUAUACAACUGGGUAAUUUAUUCCCAUUACAACUCACCUAAUCUUUGUGUUUUUCACCCCACAAACACACUUCACCUAAACUCUUUUAAGGUGCCAUAUAACUUAGGCUUUGGCAUAUAUAUAUACAUUAUUUUAUAAAUAUGUUUAGUUUGAAGUAAAUAAUAAUUUUUUUAUGUAAAAAAAUUCAUCCGUUAAAUAUAUAUUAAUAUAAACAUUAUUUUAGAUUAUUAUGAUAGAGACAUCGGAUUAAUUCAAUAUUUUAUAUGUAUGACGAGUAUAAUUAUAACAUGAAAUUCAACAAUUAGAUUCUUAAAUGAUCAAUCAUAAAAAAAAAGUUAUUUAAGGGUGUAACCAUGUUAAUUUUAUAUUAAUGUAAUUGCAGCCAUGUAUACACUCAAUAAUAAUUUUCCAUGUUGUUGGUUAUUGUGUUAAUUUUGUUAGUACAAUGUUUAAAAUACUUAUAAUUUUAUCUCAAACCUUUAAAAAUGAAAAAUAUCACGUGUUUAAACACAUUUGAGCUGAAGAACGUGACUAGAGGGAGCAAGUAGAUCAGUUUCAAUCCCUUAUCGAUAAUGAGUUACUGAUUUCGUCCCUAUCUGAACCCUCGUCCUUCAAAUUGUUACAAUAUCAAUAGUAACCCGAAUAAACAUUACAAAAAUCAUAUAUUUAAAAUAUAUUAGAAUAAUUAUGUUACCAUAAAUACACAUUGAAUGUGACCAUAUGAGUCAUUGAAAAUCUCACCAAUCUCAUAUUUGAUGUAAUUUAUGAUAAUUCAUUUAAAUCAAAUAAAAUGAGUGGAGGGAUUGAUUGAAACAAUAAUAAGGUGAAACACUGAAAAAGGGGAGGUGGUUGAACAUCAUCUAAUUCCUAAGAACAAAUUAAUAAAAUAUAAAUGUGAAUGAAUUAAUAUACAGAAAAAGCACAAAAUUACAGCCUAAACCAUUAAUCUCAAUUUGUCUUUUCAUUGGAUUUGGAUUUUAUUUUAUUCAGUUGUUUGAAUUUGGAUGCUAACUACAUUUCUUAAUAUAAUAUAUGACAUAAAUAUAAAAAAUAAUAAUGAAGAGCGGUUUAAUAUGAAUUAUUAAUAUAUUUAAAAUUUAUAAAUAUGUGUCGAUUGAGUCUUAAUUCGAUUGAUAUCGGUAUUGUUGUCAGUAUAAGAGAAUGUGCGUUAAAGCAUAUUAUCUCCUUGUUUAAGAGUUGGGGAAAGGCUGCAUGAGUUCAAGUUCUUUUAUAAUCUAAAUUUUUUUCAAUAAAUAAUGCUGAAAUUAGUUAAAGCUGUUUUGUGGCAGUUGCAUUUAUAUAAAUCUAGAUAACUCAUUGUCCAGAUUCAUUCGAUAUGAGCGUAAAAGUUAAAACCAUAAAAAAAUUAAAAAUUAUAAAGAGGUUCAAAUAUGUAAAAUUAUAAAAAAUUAAUAAAAGCGCACAUUUAGAAUGAACCAGAGCCGUCCUCGAGUGUCUUCUUGUAGUGUUACAUGUUGCGCCGGGUGAGGGUAUAACAACACUAAUCAAUUAAAAUUAUGUAUAAUCGACAAAAAAUUUUUAUUGUGAUUAAUUUCUUUUAUUUUCUGAUUUUUAAAAUUGAUAGGGACUAAAUUGCUCAAAAUUAUUGAGAAGGACCAAUUUUCUUAAUAUCAAAAUUGAGAGGGAGUGGAGAGAUGUUUUUACCAAUCUACAUAAAGCCUUUCAGUAUAGUGAAAUUUAUGUUCACUUGUGAGUUUGGUCAUCAGGCGUUUGUAGUCCAACGGUUAGGAUAAUUGCCUUCCAAGCAAUAGACCCGGGUUCGACUCCCGGCAAACGCAUUUGAAUUUUUACCUUCUUUCCGUUUCCUCCGAUGGAAUGAAGGUGGUAACUGAUGAGUUUGCUAAAAGAGACAUUUGUGAUAUUCAACAGAGUUUGCUAAAUUCUGUAGUAUGACCCCCGACCUCUACACACCUAACCUUUUAACAAUUUCUCCUUUUUUUUAUUCAUCAAAGCUUCACCAUUUAAUUUCUCUAAGGAGAGAGAUGAAAAAAAAGUAGGGAGUGUGAAAAAGGUUGAAUGAUUUACGUCAUAAUUUUUAAAUGUAAACAUCAUAUGAAUAAAAUAAUAGUUGCUCCUACUCUUUAUAUUUCUUUAGUAUCUUAAUAAAUAUUCAAAUAUGUAAUAAGUCUUUAAUAAGUUAUGUGUUAUGGUUUUAGAGAAGAGCCAUGAAUGGAGUUGAUUUUGAGAUAUAAGUGUUUAAACCACUUUCAACUUAUAAGUUGCUUUUUGCGGAUAAAAUUAUAAAGUAAAAAGUUUAAAGCUAAAAAUAUAUCUUCCAUCAUAACACUGUAGAAUAAAGUUAUCUUUAGUAUAAAUUUUUUCUCUAUUUUCAAUACUUUUGUGGUAAGUUGGUAUUAAGAAUGAAAAUGACAUUAAAUCAGACAAAUACCAUAUAUGAAAUGAAGCAAUAAAGAAUAUCACAAAUUGUGUUUAAUAGUGAAAAGGGCUACCUAUGUUUUUAGAUUAAGAUACUUUCAAAGUUUAAGGGAUAGUAGAGAUUUCAUAAACCCUGGCACUCUUCUCUAGUGUGGCUCAAACAAAAAUAUGCUUCUAAGGUAUUUUCUCUAUCUUAAUUGCCUUCAUAAUCAUUGUUACCAUUCGAUUUGUCUAAUAUUGUUGAAUUGCAAGAUGACGGUUCGAUGACUGAUGAUUGAUAAAAAUAAAAACUCCCUUGUGAUAGCGUGAAAAGAAGGCAAAUAAAUCGUUUCGAUAGUGAUUCUUGCCAAAUAUGCAAAUGCCCAUGAAUAUGCAGCCAAAGCAAAAGCAGAAGUUUUCAUUUUUCUUCGAGUACGUCUAUCCUUUAUAUAACUAUACAACUAUGCUCUUUUAAGUAACUACUAAUCUCUGUGUACCUAGUGGCAAAUCUAGGGAGGUUGGCAAGGCACUUGCCCCAUAAAAUGUAAAAUUUUUAUUUAGUCUCUUAAUUUUUAAAAAUUUUAAAUUAGUAAAGAUAAAAUUACACUUUACCCCUCUAAAAUUAUAAAAAUUCAAUUUAAUCUCUUAAAAAUUGUAAAGAUACUAUAAAAAAUUAAAAUUUCAUUCAGCCCCCAAAAAGUUGUUCUAGCUUCGCCCCUGUCUGUACCAUCCAUUAGCUAAUCUUUCUUCUUCUUCUUCUUCUUUUUUUUUGAAAUUUCAGUUUUGAUUGAAAUCAUUAAAUUUAUUAAAUUAAAAUUUAUUAUUUCUAAAAUUUUAUGCGACAAAUAUAUUAUAAGAUGUAUAAUAUCAUGCCAAUUUCUUAUUUUCACAUAAUACUCACAAAAGACGUCAUUAUUUUAAUUUUAUGGAUUUAACAACUAUCGUUUGAGCUAUGAUUAAAAUUUCAAAAUUCGAAAAGUAUAGAAACUAAAUAUGAUCAAAUUGGAGAAAAGAAACUAAAUCUAUAACUUAUACAUAGUACAAGACUAAUAGCAAUAUUGAAGUUGAAUUACAAUCAUUUCUCAUCUCAUUUGUUACGAUGUCUUACCAUUUUGUUCUUGUAAAAGAAGGAUGAAAUAUGAUCCUCUAGAGACCCUACUGAAUACAUGAGAAAACUUGAAAGGAUUAGUAUUCAACACUUAAAUCCAAAUCUUGAAUAAUGUAACUAAUUAGAACAUGAAUUAACGUCUUUACCGUGUCAAUACCAAUCAAGUUAUAACAUAAGGUUUUUUUAUAAUAUUUUUUCUCUCCCUUUUACAUUAAUAUUAGAUAAAUCCUUGAAGUAAGUUUGAUAUUGAAUAAGAUAAGGUUUUUUAUUAUAUUAAUUAAUGUAAUCAAUAGAAUAAUCAUAUCGUUUAUCUUAUUAAAGUUUCUUGCCAUUGCAAUGUCAAUCUCGGUAACCACCUAGAUUAUAGCAUCUUUAAUCACAACUUUGUCGCCUUCAUCGUACGGUUCACGUUCAAGAACAUAAAAAUCAAGCACUUCACCAAUCAAUAGUAGCUGUUGAGAUGUAAACCGGUAGUUCACCCCUCAAUUUAUAUCCUCAAAUUAGAAUAUUAAAGUUGGCUAAAAUUUUUUAUGCAUUUUUUUUUAUGAAAACAACUUAUUGAAAUCGAAUCGAUGAUUAGAUUUAUUAUAUAUCGAUGGAUUCUCGAUGUAUCUGAUUGGUACAGCUUUCAAAACACUAAACUUGAGUAAUAGGUAAGGUUAUGAAAGAAAAAAAGAGAGAAAAGCAAAGAAAUUAAAGAAAUUAAAUUCACCGGGUACCGGUUACACUAGACUUUUAGGGUCCUGUUGUUUGCCUCUUUCAUUCUCUUUAAAAAUGAGUCCUAAAAUCAAAUACAUCAACGGGAGGCUAGGCGAACUUGCCACUGAGUGGAAAAGCUUUGAUCUAAGACAGUAUAGCGACAACCGACAUGUUUUUCGCAGAGAGACUAUCUCUUUUGUGCAUUCUUCUGAUGUUAUUGGUAGAGAUGAGGAUAAAGAGAACAUAAUUAGUAUGUUGAUGAAACAAAGUGAGGAUCAAAAUGUCCCUGUCAUUCCCAUUGUUGGACUUGGGGGUUUAGGAAAAACCACGCUCGCUCAAUUAGCAUUCAAUGAUGAUCGAGUUACUAGCCUUUUUCCUUUGAAGAUAUGGAUCUGUGUUUCUGAGGAAUUUGAUCUUUCUAGAUUGCUCAAGCUGAUUAUUCAGUCUGUAAAUAAAGGAGAAAGAUGUGAUGAUUCAACACUUGACGCCUUGCAAGCUCGUUUGAGAACCUUUUGAAUGAUAAGAAGUUCUUGCUCGUCCUGGAUGAUGUGUGGAAUGAAAAUAAAGCAAAAUGGGUUGAGUUAAGAAAUUUGUUGAGAUCGACGGAUGGAUUUUCUCCAAACAAAAUUAUUGUCACCACUCGGAGUUUGAACGUGGCCUCGAUAAUGAGUUCAAUUCCCCCUUAUAUAUUGAAAGGUCUCCCCCUUGAAGACUGUUUGACCUUAUUUACAAAAUGGGCUUUUAAUGAUGGUGAUGAGAGACAUUAUCCAAAUCUCAUUAGAAUCGGGGAGGAGAUUGUGAAAAAAUGCAAAGGGGUUCCUUUGGCAGUAAGAACAUUGGGAAGCCUACUAUUUCAGAAAACGGAUGAAUCUGAUUGGAUCUAUAUACGAGAGAGUGAAAUAUGGAGACUUGAGCAACAUGAAAACGAUAUUUUACCAGUGUUGAAGUUGAGUUACAAUCAUUUGCCAUCUCAUUUGCAACGAUGUCUUGCUUUUUUGUCCUUGUACAAAAAGGAUGAGAUCUAUUAUAGUGAUAGAGUUAUCUGUCUUUGGAUGGCAAAUGGACUCCUUGAGCAUCCAAAGCAAAAUCAAGAGUGGGAGGAUGUUGGCAAACGAUAUUUGAAUAAAUUACUAUCAAGGUGCCUCAUCCAAAAGGAGGAGGAUUUUCACUUGAAGUUUACCUUCAAAAUGCAUGAUCUGGUACAUGAUCUUGCAUUAGCUGUGUCUCGAAGAGAGUGUAAAAUAAUGAAUUCCAAAACAAAAACGGUUGAUGAAAAUGUUCGACAUCUGUUUUUAUGUGAUGAGAAGUUGGUUGAAGUUCCGCGUGUUUUGGAGAAAUUGGAAAAAGUUCAAACAGUAAUCGUCCAAGAUAGUUCACUAAGAUCAAAGAUUUUUGAUAAAUCUCUUAUAAAUCUUUGUGUCUCCAAUUUCAAGUAUCUACGAGCAUUAGAAUUAAGAGAUUCACUACUGACAGCUUUACCGAAUUCCAUUGGUAACUUGAAGCACUUACGAGAGCUUGACUUGGCCCGAUCUGAGGAUAUACGUGAACUUCCAAGGUCUUUUUAUAAGCUUUACUGCUUGCAAUCGUUAAAUUUGGGAGCUACUAGUUUGAAGCAGUUGCCCGACAGCGUGCAAAGGUUGAUUGAGCUUAGACAUCUUGUAAUAACCAUUGAAGCUAAGCAUUUGAAAGAAAUACGAGCAGGAUGUUGGACUUCUCUUCAAUACUUGGAAUGUAUAACUGUUUCGAAUUAGAAUGUUUACCUGAAGGAAUGCAGUAUCUGAAGUCACUUCGAACACUUCUCGUGAGUUACUGUCAUAGUCUUGUCUCAUUGCCCCGGAGCCUGAAAUUCCUAACCAAGUUAGAACACCUUGAAAUAGUGAGGUGCCUUCGAAUCAAUAUGAAAAUGGAACUAGAAGAGGAAGAAGACAAAGACCUUCAGUUGAGCCUUAAAACUUUCUCACUCUUCGGAUUACAUGAAUUAAGAGAUUUGCCACGAUUGCUUCUUCAAGGAUCUUCUUCCACUUUGCAGCAAUUACGAAUUAGGGGGUGUCCAAACUUGUCCUUUCUACCAGCAUGGCUACCGAAUCUCACUUCUCUUCAAAAACUUGAGAUUGCUAAUUGCAUAAAUUUGUCAGCUCUACCGGAGGGAAUAGACCGCCUCACCAACCUUAAGGAAUUGAGAAUUUACGGAUGUCCGGAGUUGAGCAAAAGAUACAGAGAAAAUGGGGGUAAAGAUUGGCACAAAAUUGCUCACAUCCAAAAGGUUGAUAUUUACUAUUGAAGAAUAAGGUAUGUGGUAAAAUUUUAAUUUCUCUAUCAGAUUUGAUUUCAUAUUAUCUCUCCCUUUUAUAUGUUUAAUGUUCGUUAAGUACUCAUUGUGUUUGGAAACAUUGCAUGUGUGAAAUGUGAAGAUGGAGAUGGAUGAAUGAAGCUAAGGGUGAGGCUUUUACUUUAUUUGCAUUCAGAUUUCACAGUUGAGAGUUGUAAUUCUAAUUACUGAGCUUUUUAUUUGGAUAUUUCAAAUGCCUUCAUGCUAUGGAUUGUAAUGUAUAAAAUUUUAUGCAUAUUUAUGUAUUCUCAUGGUUGGUUUGUCUUUAUAAUUUAGUAUAUAGAUAAAUUGGUUAUCCAAUUAUAAAAAAGUUACAAAAUGUAUGAGGUGCUAAAUUGGUACAUUUUGAUUUGGUAAUUAUAACUAUAGCAUUGGUAGGUUUUUGAGCAGGUUUAUAAUCAUCAAAAUGUAUCUUAGCUCACUUCCAAAUCUUGAUUUUGUAAUAAGCAUCAAAAGAUUUAUUUUUGAGCUACACAGUUUAGCACAUAGCUGUUCGUUACACAUGGGUUGAUGAUACGAUCAUGUGAGCUAUAGAAAUUAAGAUUCUUUUGAACCACACAGUUUUCGCUUGUCACACGGGCUAACGGCAUGCCUAUGUAGGUACUGUAGGUUAAGUUAUAUAAUUUGUACACGGUCACAAUUAAUUAUACAGUUUAAUCACACGGUUACAUAGAAUAAUUUAAUUAAAUCAAUAAUUAAUUGAUUAGUUCUAUAAUUUAAUCAAUUCAAGUAUCUGACUCAAUUUGUAAUGAGAGGAAUUUACAAGAUUACAAUCAUCAAUAGAGAAAUAUACAACUGAUAAAUACUCCUAAAAUUACUUAUACACCAUGACAUAUACAUUCAUAUAUCUGAUCGAUUCAAUAAUGGUUUUAUGAUUAAUCAUAUAUUUUUAAAUUACUUGUACAUCACAUUAAUUCUACAUAAAUUACUUGAUUUACAGUUUAUUUUAAUUUAAUAUAAUAUUCUGAAAAGUUUCAAAAAUAAUAAAUGAUAAAUAAUAUUAAACUUGGUAUGAAAAGUGAUAAUACAUCCAAUUUACAUGUUUAUCACGCUUAAUUUUGAUAAAUUCUUGAAUGAGAUGCUACUAAUUUUGGACCUAUUUUGAUUUUUGAUUAGGUGCAAAAGCAAACCCGAAAAGUUAAAAGAGUCAAAAAUGUAAGCGGUUGUAAAAGUUUUGAGCCAAAGAACGAAUUAAUGGAUAAUGAUCUAUUUUAAAAACUUUUAUUUUUGGAUUUAUUUGAAAAAUAAAUACUUUUAAUUUUACUUUAUUUUUAAAUAACUCUUCAAUAUUAGAUUGAUGAGUAUAAGUAGAAUUAGGGUUUUAGGCGAGGUACAAGGAGGGAGAAUGGAAUGGGGAAUUGAACUUCCUUCCCUGUUCUCAAUUCUGUUUUAACUCUUUUCUUUACUUGUGUAUUAUUGCACCAUUUACCUUUUUGUUUUAAACUGAUAAUUAAUAACCCUAUAGAUAGCGGUGAGAUCUGAACCCGCAUUUCAAAACUUUCGUUUCAAUGUUUAUUGUUUUUGCGGUUUAGGAGAUAGACUUCAUAGUCUCACAAAAUUAUAUUGGCAUCAAAUUAAAAAGAGUUUGUUGAUUCAGUAUUGAUAGGCAUACAGUUAGAAAUACUGAGUUGAUCGUUUAUCAUAUUCAAUCUACUGAAGAACACAUUGACAUAUCCAAUUAAGUAGUUAGUUAGAUUCUGUUAGGAGGAAAUAGCAGUCAGUUUUGAAACUGUUGAGGCCAUUGGUUCAAGUUGGGUCAUUCUAGUUCGCAAGGUUAUCAGAGUUAAAUCGUGGAUUCGUGUUUCGUAGUUCUUCAUUCAAUAAAGGUUAGUUGUUAGACGUUCUUGCAAUAAAUUUACACAUACAAAGGUUAAUAGUUCAAGGCAUCCUCGAUUAUUAUAAUUAACUUAUCGAUCAAAGGAGAAGACUUGCUGUUAAAAUAUUUAUCGUAAAUUUAGUCAUAUAUAAACCCUAAAUAAAAUACUUCUUAUACAUAUUAAAGCCAAACCAUUUAUUUAUCCAACUUAUAUUUAUUUUGGUAAAAGAAGACUUAUAUUUAUUUACUUUAUUCCUAAAACUUCAAAGUUUCAAAAAGAGUCUUAAAUUUUAUUUUUCAACCAUUCCCCCAUUUAACCUAAAAAAAUCCUUCUCCAUCCAAAACAAACGCUUAACUAUGCAAAUAUUCAAAUUAUAUUACCAUAUAUAAUUUAUGAAUUUAAUUUAAAUAAUAUUUUUAAUCCACAUAUCGGUAAACUAUUAAAAUAGUUACCUUUUUUUAUUUCAAGUUACAUUUUAGUCACUUACGUUAAUAUUUUUUUACGAAAUCAUCACUCUGCCAUUACAUUUAAAUAAUAUUUUUAAUCCAUAUACCUUUUAAUGGGUAAACUAUCAAAAUAGUUACCUUUUUUUACUUCAAGUUACAUUUUAGUCACUAUUGUUUGAAAUGUUACAUUUUAAUCACUUACGUUAAUAUUUUUUUACAAAAUCAUCACUCUGCCGUUAAUACUCGUUAUUUCCCAAACAGUAGUCCAAUAUGACAGUUAAAAUAAAUUUUAAAUGUCAAAGGUAGAGUGACCAUUUUCUUCAUAAAACGAUAACAAAAGUAACCAAAAAUAACAUUUUAAACAUAAAUAAUUAAAAUAUAACCUAAAUCAAAUAAAAAUGUUUAUUUUUAAUUUAUCAACACAGCGUAGUUAAGUUCCACCCAAGUCAACUAUAAAGCCUAGUCAACAAUCAAAAGCAGAUAUUUGGCUGAACCACAACCACAAAAUUUGGUGCAUUGCUGCUUCGAUAUGAACAGAAAAAAAUAAAAUCAUUAUUGAGUGCCACAAUCAUUAAUUUGCCUUCCUUCCCCUCAAUCAUUCAAGCUUUGCUCUAUAAAUUCAAUUAUGGCGGAGUUUCUGUUCAAUAUUGCAGAAAGGGUUGUCGAGAAAAUUGUCGGUCUCACUGUAGACGAAGUUCGCUUGGCGUUGAAUGUCAAAACCGAUCUGAAAAAGCUGGAGGACACCAUGAUCAGCAUUAAAGCUGUGCUCUUGGAUGCCGAGCGGCAACAGCACCAAAAUGAAAAGCUGCGCCUCUGUAUGCGGAAGCUCAGAGACAUCUUUUACGAUGCUGAGGACGUUAUUGACGAUUUCAAGUGUGAAGCUCUCCGGAAACAGGACGCCAUCAAUCAUCCCGACAUCAACAACUUAAAGGUGCGAGUUUUAGGUUCCUGUUGUUUGUCUCUUUCAUUCUCUUUAAAAAUGAGUCAUAAAAUCAAAGACAUCAAUGGGAGACUAGGCNNNNNNNNNNNNNNNNNNNNNNNNNNNNNNNNNNNNNNNNNNNNNNNNNNNNNNNNNNNNNNNNNNNNNNNNNNNNNNNNNNNNNNNNNNNNNNNNNNNNNNNNNNNNNNNNNNNNNNNNNNNNNNNNNNNNNNNNNNNNNNNNNNNNNNNNNNNNNNNNNNNNNNNNNNNNNNNNNNNNNNNNNNNNNNNNNNNNNNNNNNNNNNNNNNNNNNNNNNNNNNNNNNNNNNNNNNNNNNNNNNNNNNNNNNNNNNNNNNNNNNNNNNNNNNNNNNNNNNNNNNNNNNNNNNNNAAUUUGAUCUUUCUAGAUUGCUUAAGCUGAUUAUUCAUUCUGUAAAUAAAGGAGAAAGAUGCGAUGAUUCAACACUUGACGCCUUGCAAGCUCGUUUGAGAAGCCUUUUGAAUGAUAAGAAGUUCUUGCUCGUCCUGGAUGAUGUGUGGAAUGAAAAUAAAGCAAAAUGGGCUGAGUUAAGAAAUUUGUUGAGAUCGACGGAUGGAUUUUCUCCAAGCAAAAUUAUUGUCACCACUCGGAGUUUGAACGUGGCCUCGAUAAUGAGUUCAAUUCCCCCGUAUAUUUUGAAAGGUCUCCCUCUUGAAGACUGUUUGACCUUAUUUACAAAAUGGGCUUUUGAUGAUGGUGAUGAGAGACAUUAUCCAAAUCUCAUUAGAAUCGGCGAGGAGAUUGUGAAAAAAUGCAAAGGGGUUCCUUUGGCAGUAAGAACAUUGGGAAGCCUACUGUUUCAGAAAACGGAUGAAUCUNNNNNNNNNNNNNNNNNNNNNNNNNNNNNNNNNNNNNNNNNNNNNNNNNNNNNNNNNNNNNNNNNNNNNNNNNNNNNNNNNNNNNNNNNNNNNNNNNNNNAAAUAUGGAGACUUGAACAACAUGAACACGAUAUUUUACCAGUGUUGAAGUUGAGUUACAAUCAUUUGCCAUCUCAUUUGCAACGAUGUCUUGCUUUUUUGUCCUUGUACAAAAAGGAUGAGAUCUAUUAUAGUGAUAGAGUUAUCUGUCUUUGGAUGGCAAAUGGACUCCUUGAGCGUCCAAAGCAAAAUCAAGAGUGGGAGGAUGUUGGCAAACGAUAUUUGAAUGAAUUACUGUCAAGGUGCCUCAUCCAAAUGGAGCAGGAUUUUUGGUUGUAUUUUACAUUCAAAAUGCAUGAUCUGGUACAUGAUCUUGCAUUAGAUGUGUCUCAAAAAGAAUGUAAAACAGUGAAUUCGGAAACAGAAACGGUUGAUGAAAAUGUUCGACAUUUAUUAUUCUGUGAUGAGAAGUUGGUUGGAGUUCCACGUGUUUUGGAGGAAAUGAAAAAUGUUCGAACAGUAAUCAUCCAAGAUGCUUCAAAGGAAUCAAAGACUACUCAUGAAUCACUUAUAAAUCUGUGUCUCUCCAACUUCAAGUAUCUUCGAGCAUUAGAAUUAAGGAAGUCACCAUUGAUGGCUUUACCAAAUUCCAUUGGUACCUUGAAGCACUUACGAGACCUUGACUUGGUCGGAUGUAGGAGUCUACGUGAACUCCCGAGGUCUUUCGAUAAGCUUCGCAGCUUGCAAUCGUUAAAUUUGGGAGAUACUGGUUUGAAGCAGUUGCCUGACAGCGUGCAAAGGUUGAUUGAGCUUAGACAUCUAGAAAUAACCAUUAAAGCUACGCAUUUGAAAGAAAUACGAGCAGGAUGUUGGACUUCUCUUCAAUACUUGGAAUUGAGGUGGUGUAUGGAAUUAGAAUGUUUACCUGAAGGAAUGCAGUAUCUGAAGUCACUUCGGACACUUGUCCUGAAGCACUGUGAUAGUCUUGUCUCAUUGCCACGGAGCCUGAAAUUCCUAACCAAGUUAGAACACCUUUAUAUAAAAUUUUGCAGUAGUAUGAAUUUGAAAAUGGAACCAGAAGAGGAAGAAGACAAAGACCUUCAGUUGAGCCUUAAAACUCUCACACUCUUCGGAUCACAUGCCUUAAGAGAUUUGCCACGAUUGCUUCUUCAAGGAUCUUCUUCCACUUUGCAGCAAUUACGAAUUGCGUUUUGUCCAGACUUGUCCGCUCUACCAGCAUGGCUACUGAAUCUCACUUCUCUUCAAAAACUUGAGAUUAAGGGUUGCUUUAAUUUGUGGGAUCUACCGGAGGGAAUAGACCGCUUCACCAACCUUAGAGAAUUGACAAUUGACGGAUGUCCGGAGUUAUGCAAAAGAUACAGAGAAAAUGGGGGUGAAGAUUGGCACGAAAUUGCUCACAUCCAAAAGGUUGAUAUUUACGAAUGAAGAAUGAGGUAUGUGGUAAAAUUUUAAUUUCUCUAUCAGAUUUGAUUUCAUAGUAUCUUCCCCUUUUAUAUGUUUAAUGUUCGUGAAGUACUCAUUGUGUUUGGAAACAUUGCAUGUAUGAAAUGUGAAGAUGGAGAUGGAUGAAUGAAGCAAAGGGUGAGGCUUUUACUUUAUUUGCAUUCAGAUUUCACAGUUGAGCUUUUUAUUUGGAUAUUUCAAAUGCCUUCAUGCUAUAGAUUGUAAUGUAUAAAAUUUUAUGCAUAUUUAUGUAUUCUCAUGGUUGGUUUGUCUUUAUAAUUUAGUAUAUAAAUAAAUUGGUUAUCCAAUUAUAAAAAAGUUACAAAAUGUAGGAGGUGCUAAAUUGAUUAUCCAAUUAUAAAAAAGUUGUGCUAAAUUAGUACAUUUUGAUUUGGUAAUUAUAACUAUAGCAUUGGUAGGUUUUUGAGCAGGUUUAUAAUCACCAAAAUGUAUCUUAGCUCAUUUCCAAAUCUUGAUUUUGUAAUGACCAUCAAAAGAUUUAUUUUUGAGCUACACAGUUUAGCACAUAGCUGUGUGUUACACAUGGGUUGAUGAUAUGAUCGUGUGACCUAUAGAAAUUAAGAUUCUUUUGAACCACACAGUUUUCGCUUGUUGCACGGGCUGACGACAUGCCCGUUUGGGUACUGUAGGUCAAGUUAUAUAAUUUGUACAUGGUCACAAUUAAUUAUACAAUUUAAUCACACGGCCGUGUGAUUUUUGGAGAAUUCUUAUAUUUAGGUCCACACGGUUACAAUGAGUUCACAUAGUCUAGAUACAUGGUUAUGUGACCCUUGUUUGUUGAAGUUUCAAUACUUUUUGCUAAAUUUUCAAUGAAGUCUUUAGUUGUUCCCUUGUAUAUUCCAAAUAUAUAGUUUUUUUUAGAAUAAUGGAUUAAUGUAAAUUUGACAAACUAAAAAUAAUUUAAAUUAAAUAUUAUUAAAUAAUUUUAUAAAAUUAUUAUAUUAUAUUAAAUAUAAAUAUAAUUAGUAAAUAAUAUAUAAAAACUAGUUUUUUCACCCGUGUGAUUCACAGACUUACGGUAUAAAUUAAUUAUUUUUAAGAGUUAUAAAAUUCUAUAAAAAAUAAAUAUAAUAAAUUAAUUAAUAAGUAAAUUUAAACAAUUUAAAUGUGCAAAUGGUAAUAGUGAUUAUGGUUAUAAAAUAAUCAUUGCACCUUUAAUUAAUAAUAGUGUAAAUUAAUACUUAUAUAUAGACGUAUGAGUUUAUUAUAUUUAAAUUAAAAUAUUUGUAUUUAUAAAAUAUUUACAUAUAUUAUAAAUUAGUACAUAUAUAAAGAUUUAAUUAAUUCAUAUUUUUUAUAUAAAAAUAUUUACGCACUAUAAUUUUAGUGUAUAUGCUAAGAUUUAAUUAAAUUUAAAUUUAAAUUUCUAAUAAAAAUAAAAAUAAAAAUUAUUUUUAAUAAAAAUAGUAAAAAACAUAUUUUUAUUUAUAUGGUAAAAUAGUAAAGAAAUGAACAUUCAUUCAUAAGGUGAAUGUGAGUACGGGAGUAUUCUUUAGCAAAUGUGAGGGUAAGUGUGAGUAUAAGAGAGUUCUCUAGCUAGUGUGAGAAUAAAAAGUGAUAUAUAAAAAUAUAUUUUAAUUAAUACGAUAUUAAAAUUAACUUUUUAAAUAAAAAUAGUACUAAAAUUAACUUUUUUUUAUGAUAAAAGUAAAGAAAUGAGUUAUGAGAAUAUUCUUUAAUUAAUGUGGGUUAAAAUUAAAUUUUAAUGAAAAAGUGAAGAAAUAAACGCUUAUUUAUAGAGUAAGUGUGAGCUUUGAUUUUCAAAAUUGAUGAGGAUUAAAUUGCUAAAUUUUUUUGAGAAUGAUCAAUUUUGUCAAUAUUAGAAUUGAAAAGGAGUGGAGAGAUGUUUUUACCAAUCUACAUAAAAAUUGAAAUUUAUCCUAUUGAGCUAUUAAUGAUAAUAAAAACAAUCAAUUAAACUCUUCCGUUAAUGGAAAUUGUUAGUAGAUCGGUUUGACUAUUAACAGUAAAAAAAAUUAAAACAUCAUUUUAAAAUUGAUAAAAAAUAUAUACAUCUAGAAUGAAUCUGGAUAAUAAUUUGUCCAUAUUCAUUCUAUAUGAGUGUAAAACUAUAAAAAUUUAAAAAUUAUAAAGAUUAUAAAAAAGUUUUAAAUAUGUAAAAGAUUAAAAAAAUAAAAAAUAAAAAUAAUUUAUAAAAAAUUAAUAAAAAUGCACAUUUAGAGUGAACUUUAGCCAUCCUCGAGUAUCUUCUUGUAAUGCCACAUGUUAUGUCGGGUGAGAGUAUAACAACACUAAUUGAUUAAAAUUAUAUAUAAUUGAAAAAAAAUAUUUAUUAUGAUUAAUUACUUUUAUUACUGAUAGAAAUUAAAUUACUCAAAAUUAUUGAGAAGGAGUGGAGAGAUGCUUUUACCAAUAUACAUAAGAAGCCUUUUGAUAUAUUGAGAUUUAAAUUUACUUGUGGGCUGUGCCGACAGGCGUUUGUAGUCCAACGGUUAGGAUACUUUCACACCAGAUAAAUUAUUGUUCAAGUUCAUUUAAAUUUAGAUAAUUAUUUAUCUAAAUUUAUUUUGUAUGAGUGUAAAAUUAUAAAAAAUUUAAAAAUUAUAAAUUUUAUAAAAAGAUUCAAAUAUGUAAAAGAUUCAAAAAAAAUAUUAAUAUUAAUAAUUUAUAAAAAAUUUAAUAAAAAACACAUUUAGAAUGAGCUUGAGCCGUCCUUGGGUGUCUUAUUGUAGUGCCACGUGUUGCGCUGGGUGAGGAUAUAACAACACUAAUCAAUCAAAAUUAUAUAUAAUUGCCAAAAUAAUAUUUAUUGUGAUUAAUUGCUUUUAUUUGUUACUUUUCAAAAUUGAUAGGGAUUAAAUUGCUCAAAUUUUUUAGAAGGACCAAUUUUCUCAAUAUCAAAACUGAGAGGGGGUGAAGAGAUGUUUUUACCAAUAUAUCAUGGGGGACAUAGAGACUAUUAAUAUAUUUAAAUUUUAAGUUUAACUUAUGCAGCAUCAGGGGUUUGUAGUCCAACGGUUAGGAUAAUUGCCUUCCAAGCAAUAGACCUGGGUUUGACUCCCGACAAACGCAGUUGGAUUUUUCAUUUUAAGCAAUUUCCUUUUUUCCUUGUUCUCCGAUGGAAUGAAGGUGGUAACUGGUGAGUGUUCGUUGGAUAACAGUCUGAUAACUAAUAGUUCAUAAAAUACUCCCUUUGAGAACGCAAGAUGCAAAUGUCCAUGAAUAUGCGGUCAAAGCAAAAGUAUAAGUGUUCAUUUUUCUCCAAGAACAUCUAUCCUAUAUCUAAAUAUAGAGCUAUAAUCUUUAUGAAAAUCUAGAAAAAGAAGUUGAUAUAUUUAUUGUACAAGCCCAUUUGCCCGGGCCCAACAAACAAAACAAAAUAGACCUAACUAUCCAAUUACGCCCACCAGCUCAAUAAGCCCAAAAUUUAAAAAGCCCAAUGCCCAUUUUCAGAAAAAAACAAAUCAGCCUAGGGUUUCAGAAACUGAAACCCUAGCCCCUAACUAAGUGGCGCCGCAAGCCUCUUCUGACUCUUAGUCUACUGGCCGCCGCCCUCUGUCGACAUGGCCCACUUGCACCGCCACGGUCACAUCCGUCCUCACCUGCCCUCUGCUACUGCCAGUCUCCUGCAAAUACACAACAAAAAUCAACAACAUAAGGGAAAACAGAGAUUCAUUGUGAUUUUCUUUUCUUUCGGCUAUAAAGCCGAAAUUGUAAAAACAAAGAAAGGGGGGAGGCUUCAUCACUGUAAUCGGGUCUUUUCCUUUUCUUUUGUAACAUUUUCACAACACAAUAGUUAAUGAAAAAAGGCAGAGAAAACAUUUAAAGGUUGAUUCAGACUUUUUAUUCUUUUUUUCUGUUCGUUUUUAUAUUUGUUUGUUUUUUUUAUAUACGAAUUUAUCUCAACAAAAACGAAAUAAAAAAGGAGAAAGAACCUUACCUGAAUCGUCUCGCAAGCGUCGUCGCCGGAGUCCUACUUCGGGUCACCGAAAUUGGGCGGGGAAGGCGGCGAUUUGAUUUUUCUCUCGCGACCCCGAGGCCAUGAAGACUUGGUCUUCAGUUGGUCCUUGAAGCAGGGUUUAAAAACCCGACGUUUGGGCUUCUGACCACCGCUCACGGCGGGGUCGACGGUGGCCCAUUUGGCCGGCGACGGGGGGGAGUUGAAAGAAGAAUGGUUUGUUUCUUUCUUUCUUCUGCAGUUUUUUUUUAAAGAAACCCUAGAAAUGAUUUUUUUUAAAGAAAAUUGGGUUUAAAUACCCUAAACAAAACGGCACCGUUUUAGCCCCUUCGACCCGCGCGGUGACCCGACCCAGAGGAGGAUCCGCGUGUUUUCCUUAAAUGGUAUAAUUGCACGCGCAGUCCCUCAAACUUUACAACGCGUUGCAAUUUGGCCCUUGUUUCGUUGUUUUCUGUUAUUUUAAUUUGGCCACAAAGUUUUAUUGUUGUUUCAAUUUAGUCCAUUGCAGUGCUGCGUUUUGGAUGUCUUGGUUUAUUUACUUUUUUGGUCCCUUUCCUCUCGGCGCACGUUGCAACUUAAUCCUUCUCGUUUUUUUUAAAUUCGCCCAGUAUCUUUAUCUCUAUUUCAAUUUAGUCCCUUUUUUAGUAAUUCUAUUAUUAUUAUUAUUAUUAUUAUUAUUAUUAUUAUUAUUAUUAUUAUUAUUAUUACUUACUUAUUAUUUAGUUUAGUUAUUAUUACUUAUAUUAUUAUUANNNNNNNNNNNNNNNNNNNNNNNNNNNNNNNNNNNNNNNNNNNNNNNNNNNNNNNNNNNNNNNNNNNNNNNNNNNNNNNNNNNNNNNNNNNNNNNNNNNNAAUUUUAGAUAUUAUUAUAUAUUUGCUUAUAUAUGUACAUACGUAUAUGUAUAUGUAUGUUUUCUUUUUGUUUGUUUUUCUUAACCUCUUUAAUAUAUACAUAAAUACUUUUUUUUAUAUGUAUAUCUAUAUAUAUGUAUAUCUCAUCUUCAUAAAUGUAUAUUUAUAUGUAUAUAAAGAUAUAUAUUCUUAUAUAUUCAUCAUAUUUUUAAAAAAUAUAUUGUUUAUAUGCUUUAUACUUUGUGAUUUGUAUAUAUACUUAUACUUACAUGUAUAUAUAUAUAUAUAUUUAUAUUUGAUUAUGGUUAUAUACAUGUAUGCGCAUAUGUGCUUAUGUAUUUUCAUGUAUAAUAGUUUCAAUAUGUGUACAUGCAUAUGCUUUUUUCAUAUUUUCAUAAUUUUAUACAUGUAUACAUGUCUUUUAUUGUUUUUAUAAUUUUGUUAGUCUUGUUCGUUUAUUUAUGUACAUGUUUGUUUUUCUUGCUUUAGUUUUUAUCUGUUUAUCAUUUUGUUCGUUUAUUUAUGUACAUGUUUGUUAUUGUUUUUCUUGCUUUAGUUUUUGCCUGUUUAUCAUCUGUCAUGAUGCCUGCCCGAUUGCUUUUAUAUUAGUCUUAUCACUUAUUUAUAUUUUGUUUUGCAUGAUUAUUUUACUUACAUUAUCAUCAUCAUUUCAUUACACCCAAUUUUUUUAGAUUUCAAGAAAGAAAUUUUAAAAAUAUAAGUAAUAUUCGAUAUUUUAAAUCUUCGAAAGAAUCGAGCCCUAACGUAUUGGGUUUCGAUUUUCUUCGUUGAAUCUAAAUAAUCGAGAUUACUCUUUUAAGAAUAAUAAUAAAAAGCUCAUUAUCGGGAAUUCAAUAUGUUAUGUCCUAACGCAUUGGAUAUGACACGCUGUUUUCCUGAUAUAAGAAUUUUUUCUAAAAAAAAAAUUCAAAAUAAGGCAAUAUUUUGCGUUUAGAAAUUCGAGAAAACAUGUCCUAAGGUGCUGGGUAUCGAUUUUUUUCGUUCAACCAAAUGGCUUAAUAUCUUUUUUAAAAAUUUCAAAAUAUGGCAAUGUUUUGCAUUUGGAAAUUCGAGAAAACAUACCCUAAGGUGCUGGGUAUCGAUUUUUCUCGUUCAACCAAAUGGCUUAAUAUCCUUUUUAAAAUUUUCAAAAUAAGGCAAUGUUUUGCGUUUGGAAAUUCGAGGAACGUACCCUAAGGUGCUGGGUUUCGAUUUCUCGUUUAACCAAGUUGCCAAAUAUCCUCUUGAAUUUUAAUUUAUGCCAUUCGAGUUUUUUUUUUGGAUCGUAUUUUAAAUUUCUUUAAAGUUUUCAGUUUUUUGACACUAAGGCAUUAAUUAAUCAACUAGGUACCAAUUUUGGGCGUAUCGAGGGUGCUAAUCCUUCCUCGUGCGUAACCGACUCCCGAACCCAUUUUUUUGAAUUUCGUGGACCAAAAUCGUUGUUUUAAUAAAAUUAAAUCGUUUAUUAAAAACAACCACUUUUUGAGGUGAUCCGAUCAUACCUCAUCAAAAAGGAUCGGUGGCGACUCUCAUUUUCGUUUUCAUUUUCUAAAAUCCCAGUCGACCCCGUUUUUCAUCCAAAAAAUAGUGUCAACAUUUAUAUUAGACAUAUACCAAAAUUAACUCUUGAGUGAAAAACUACAUUAGUCUUAACUUGAAUAAGAUGUUGAAAUGCACAUCAUUUUUCAGUUAAUGAAAUCAUUAUAUUUUCGACUAAUGUAAUUUCUCGUUAACUUGAAAAAUUACAAUAAUUCAUGCAUUAAAAUUUAUGUAUAAUAUAAAUGAAAUAAAAUAUUUUAUUUUUAUAAAUUUUAUAUUUAAUUAUUCUAAUACUAGAUAUUGAUUAUUUAAGAUAUGUAUUGAUUGUCUAUCAUAUUUGAUCUAUCGAAAAACACAUGGCCAUGUGUAGUUCAGUAGUUGGUUGGAUUCUGUCAAAGGAAAUAGUAAUUAGAUUUGAAGCAGUUGAGGUCGUUAGUUAAAGUUGGACCCUUCUAGCUCGCAAGGCUAAAGAGCUAAAUUGUGGACGUGUUUCAUGAUUGUUCGUUCAGUAAGGAUUGAUUGUUAAAUAUUCUCGCAAUUAAUUUAAAAACAAUUUGAGUUUGAACAUAAUGAAAAAGAUCAAUAGGUUGAAAGUCGAAAAACAAAUUAGACUGCUAUUGUAAAAAAAUAUAAAUACAAUUUCAAUUAAAGUUUAUUAAUAUAAUGACUUGAUUAUAAUAAAAAAUAUUAAAUUUUCAUUGUGACUCAAACCAUUAUUUUUAAUCCGAUAAAGGUAGUGAUAGUUUUGAUGAAAUUAUGACGCGAGGGGGAGUGUUGGGGUUACUCUUUAUUAGACUUUUAACAAAAAGAUGAAAGUUUUGAUACAAGGUACGGAGCCAACAAACUGAAAAUAUGAUUGUUGAAAGAUUCACAUGAAUGCAAGGAUGAAUCUAGCUAAAUUGGGAGGGUUUGGAAAAAAUAUAGGUUCAAAAAAUAAGUUUAGACAAAAAAAUUGUUUAAAAAUUAGGUUGGAUCUCGAGUAAAAUUUUUUUAGCCCAAGCUCGGUUUGAUUUGAAUUAGCAAAAAGACAAAAGAAAUCUACUAUUUUCUUGUUAUCGCAUUGAUUUGUUACCAUUUUUUGGAUAGAAGAAAUCUUGUUUUAUUGCUAAUUUUAUUACUAUUUUAGAGGUAUUUUUUUAUUUAAGUAUAAAUAUUUUUAAUUUAUUUUCCAAUUUUUAGGAAACAUUUAAUUUACUAUUUUUAGUAUCUUUAAUGUAUUAAUUGUUUAGAUUUUUUUAAUAUGAAAAAAUUUUAAUUUUGCCACAUUGGAUUAAGCCUGAAUUUUAACAUUUUUAUUUAAGUCGAAUUUAGAUAAAAUAUUAAAUCUAAUUUUCAAAUCGAGCUUAAAAUUUUGACAAAACUUAACGCAAUAAAUAAAUCCAGCAAAUCACAUCCUAUGAGAGAGAAAUUGUAUUAUAUAGGAUAAAUGGUAAUCUAAGUUAGAGAAGCUUUUUGUGGAAAUUCAUGAAGCCAAUAACAGGGUGAAGUACACAAAGAAUGAAGGUGGUUGGAAAGGAAUCUAACAUCUUAACAAAAAGUUAAUAAAAUACACCAAUGUAAAUGUUAAUUAAUUAAAUACACAUCAACAACAAUUUUUUUAUUCUUCUUCAAAAAUAAAAUAUUAAUACUAGUACUAAAAAUUAAAGUAACAUUUGAUAAUUAUUAGUCUUAAGAUAUUAUUAAGAGUAUUCAAGGAUCUUGAAGCAUUAGUAUUUAUGAACAGUUAAAUAGAUUAAUUUUGUAAAACAAAAUGAAGAGUAUUAAUAAGGCAAAAUCUUAUUUUUCCUAAGAAUUUUAUAACCCAAAUUUGUUUAUUUCUUUAAUAAUUUUACUAUUUAUAUUUCAAAUUCAUGAAUAGUUGAUGUUACAUCUUUACAAAGUUACACUUCCCCCUAUAAAAUAUUCAUAGGUUUGAUAAUUUCUUUCCUACAAGAUUUCAAGGACCCGAACAAUAUGUUAGCGUUAGCAGGUUAAGUCACAGGCACGUCGAACAGGAAGGCUUGUUUUUGUUUUUUUCUUUUUUCGAAUUUCGGGCUACAACAAGAAGUUCUUUGUUUGAUUUCUUACCACAAAAAAAGAAGAAAAAGAGAAAAAAGGAAGGGUCUUUCUUGAAUGCUGUACUGCCUCUCUUCUUUCUUUGCUCUUGAAAUUCAAUUAUGGCGGAAACGUUUCUUUUCGAUAUUGCAGAAAGGGUUCUCGCCAAAAUUGUCCAUCUCUCUGUAGACGAAGUUCGCUUUGAAACAUUGCAUGUAUGAAAUGUGAAGAUGAAGAUGGAAGAAUGAAGGCAAGGUUGAGGCAGGCCACCCAAGACUUUUACUUUAUUUGCAUUUAGAUUUCACAGUUUAGAAUUGUAAUUCUAGUAACUCUAGCUUUUGCUUUGGAGAUUUCAAAUGGCUUAAUUGUAAUGUUUGUUUGACAUCUCAAAUGGCUUCAUGCUAUGCCUUGUAACUCUUAACUUUAUGCAUAUUUAUGUUUUCUCAUCCUUCCUUUCUCUUUAUGAUUACCAAUUUGGCUUAAUGCAUCAUUUAAUCUCUAAAAUAUACUAUUUUUUUUCACUUUGGUCCUUACAACUUUUUCUAGCCCAAAUUAGGGCAUAAUUAGAAACAUGUGUAUACAAAUGAAUGAGAUUACAUUUAUACAUAACCUAUUCAAUUAAAUCAAUUAUUAAUUGAUAAUUAGAUAAUUCAAUCAAUUAUGUUUGUAGUUAGACACAUGUAUAUACAAGUUUAUUUGUCUACAUUUUUACAUAGUAUAAUUUAAUUAAAUCAACAAUUAAUUGAUAAGUUCUAUAAUUUAAUCAAUUCAAGUAUCUGACUUAAUUCAUAAUUAGAGGAAUUUACAAGAUUAUAACCAUCAAUGGAGAAAUAUACAACUGAUAAAUGCUCCUAAAAUUACUUAUACACCAUGACAUAUACAUUCAUAUAUCUGAUUGAUUCAAUAAUGGUUUUACGAUUCAUCAUAUAUUUUUAAAUGACUUGUACAUCAUUAAUUCUACAUAAAUUACUUGAUUUACUAUUUAUUUUAAUUUAAUAUAAUAUUCUGAAAAGUUUAUAAAAUAAUAAAUGAUAAAUAAUAUUAAACUUGAUAUGAAAAGUGAUAAUACAUCCAAUUUACAUGUUUAUCACGCUUAAUUUUGAUAAAUUCUUGAAUGAGAUGCUACUAAUUUUAGACCUAUUAUUUGAUUUUUGAUUAGGUGUAAAAGCAAACUCGAAAAAUUAAAAAAGUCGAAAAUGCAAGCUGUUGUAAAAGUUGUGAGCUUUUAUUUUUGGAUUUAUUUGUAAAAUAAAUACUUUUAAUUUUAUUUUUAAAUAACUCUUCAAUAUUAGAUUGAUGAGUAUAAGUAGAAUUAAGGUUUUAGGCUAGGUACAAGGAAGGGAGAAUGGAAUGGAGAAUUGAACUUACUUCCUUGUUCUCAAUUCUGUUUUAACUCUUUUCUUUACUUGUGUAGUAUUGCACCAUUUACCUUUUUAUUUUAAGCUAAUAAAUAACCCUAUAGAUAGCGGUGAGAUCUAAACUUGCAUUUCAAAACUUUCGUUCCAGUGUUUAUUAUUUUUUCAGUUUAGGAGAUAAACUUCAUUUUCUCACAAAAUUAUAUUGGCAUCAAGUUAAAAAGAGUUUGUUGAUUCAGUAUUGAUAGGCAUACAGUUAGAAAUACUGAGUUGAUCGUUUAUCGUAUUCAAUCUACUGAAGAACACAUUGGCAUGUCUAAUUAAGUAGUUAGUUAGAUUCUGUUAGGAGGAAAUAGCAAUCAGUUUUGAAACGGUUGAGGCCAUUGGUUUAAGUUGAGCCAUUCUAGUUCACAAGGUUAUCAGAGUUAAAUCGUGGACUCGUGUUUCGUAGUUAUUCAUUCAAUAAAGGUUAGUUGUUAGACGUUCUUGCAAUAAAUUUAUACAUAGAAAGGUUAAUAGUCCAAGGCAUCCUCGAUUAUUAUAAUUGACUUAUCGAUCAAAGGAGAAGACUUGCUAUUAAGAUACUUAUCGUAAAUUUAAUCAUUUAUGAACUCUAAAUAAAAUACUUCUUAUACCCAUUAAAGCCAAACCAUGUAUUUAUCUAACUUAUAUUUAUUUUGGUAAAAGGAGACUUAUAUUUAUUUACUUUAUUCCUAAAACUUCAAAGAAGCCCCAUCUUUAUCUUUUAAGUUUCAAAAGGAGGUUUAAAUUUUAUUUUUACUAAAAAAACAUUUUCUCAAUCCAAAACAAAUAUUUAAAUUAUAUUACCAUAUAUAAUUUAUGAAUUUAAUUUAAAUAAUAUUUUUAAUCCAUAUACCUUUUAAUGGAUAAAUUAUCAAAAUUGUUAUUUUUGUUUACCUCAAGUUACAUUUUAGUUAUUAUUGUUUGAAAUGUUACAUUUUAGCCACUUACAUUAAUAUUUUUUUAACGAAAUCAUCACUUUACCGUUAAAAUUUGUUAUUUCUCAAACGAUAGUCCAAUAUAACAGUUAAAAUGAGUUUUAAAUGUUAACAAUAGAGUGACCGUUUUCUUUAUAAAAUGAUAACAAAAGUAACUAAAAAUAAUAUUUUAAACAUAAGUGAUUAAAAUGUAACCUAAAUUAAAUAAAAAUGUUUAUUUUGAUAGAUUACCUCUUUGUUUUUUUAAUUUAUCAACACAGCGUAGUUAAGUUACAGCCAAGUCAACUGUGAAGCCUAGUCAACAAUCAAAAGCAGAUAUUUGGCUGAAAAAAAUAAAAUCAUUAUUGAGUGCCUCAAUCAUUCAUUUGCCUUCCUUCCCCUCAAUCAUUCAAGCUUUGCUCUAGAAAUUCAAUUAUGGCGGAAACGUUUCUGUUCAAUAUUGCAGAAAGGGUUGUCGAGCAAAUUGUCGGUCUCACUGUAGACGAAGUUCGCUUGGCGUUUAAUGUCAAAACCGAUCUGAAAAAGCUGGAGGACACCAUGUUCAGCAUUAAAGCUGUGCUCUUGGAUGCCGAGCGGCAACAGCACCAAAAUGAAAAGCUGCGCCUCUGUAUGUGGAAGCUCAGAAACAUCUUUUACGAUGCUGAGGACGUUAUUGACAAUUUCAAGUGUGAAGCUCUCCGGAAACAGGACGCCAUCAGUCAUCCCGUCAUCAACAACUUAAAGGUGCGAGUUUUAGGUUCCUGUUGUUUGCCUCUUUCAUUCUCUUCAAAAAUGAGUCAUAAAAUCAAAGACAUCAAUCGGAGACUAGGCGAACUGGCCACUGAGUGGAACAGCUUUGCUCUAAGUCAGUGUAACGACAGUAGACAUGUUUUUCGCAGAGAGACCAUCUCUUUUGUGGAUUCUUCUGAUGUUAUUGGUAGAGAUGAGGAUAAAGAGAACAUAAUUAGUAUGUUGAUGAAACCAAGUGAGGAUCAAAAUGUCCCUGUCAUUCCCAUUGUUGGACUUGGGGGUUUAGGAAAAACCACGCUCGAUCAAUUAGCAUUCAAUGAUGAUCGAGUUACUAGCCUUUUUCCUUUGAAGAUAUGGAUCUGUGUUUCUGAGGAAUUUGAUCUUUCUAGAUUGCUCAAGCUGAUUAUUCAGUCUGUAAAUAAAGAAGAAAGAUGUGAUGAUUCAACACUUGACGCCUUGCAAGCUCGUUUGAGAAGCCUUUUGAAUGAUAAGAAGUUCUUGCUCGUCCUGGAUGAUGUGUGGAAUGAAAAUAAAGCAAAAUGGGUUGAGUUAAGAAAUUUGUUGAGAUCAACGGAUGGAUUUUCUCCAAGCAAAAUUAUCGUAACUACUCGGACUUUGAAGGUUGCCUCGAUAAUGAGUUCAAUUCCCCCUUAUGAAUUGAAAGGUCUCCGUCUUGAAGACUGUUUGACCUUAUUUACAAAAUGGGCUUUUAAUGAUGGUGAUGAGAGACAUUAUCCAAAUCUCAUUAGAAUCGGGGAGGAGAUUGUGAAAAAAUGCAAAGGGGUUCCUUUGGCAGUAAGAACAUUGGGAAGCCUACUGUUUCAGAAAACAGAUGAAUCUGAUUGGAUCUAUAUAGGAGAGAGUGAAAUAUGGAGACUUGAGCAACAUGAAAACGAUAUUUUACCAGUGUUGAAGUUGAGUUACAAUCAUUUGCCAUCUCAUUUGCAACGAUGUCUUGCUUUUUUGUCCUUGUACAAAAAGGAUGAGAUCUAUUCUAGUGAUAGAGUUAUCUGUCUUUGGAUGGCGAAUGGACUCCUUGAGCAUCCAAAGCAAAAUCAAGAGUGGGAGGAUGUUGGCAAACGAUAUUUGAAUGAAUUACAGUCAAGGUGCCUCAUCGAAAUGGGGCACGAUUUUGGGUUGGUUUUUACCUUCAAAAUGCAUGAUCUGGUACAUGAUCUUGCAUUAGAUGUGUCUCAAAAAGAAUGUAAAACAGUGAAUUCGGAAACAGAAACGGAUGAUGAAAAUGUUCGACAUUUAUUAUUAUGUGAUGAGAAGUUGGUUGGAGUUCCACGUGUUUUGGAGGAAAUGAAAAAUGUUCGAACAGUAAUCAUCCAAGAUGCUUUAAAGGGAUCAAGGACUACUCAUGAAUCACUUAUAAAUCUGUGUGUCUCCAAUUUCAAGUAUCUACGAGCAUUAGAAAUAAGGCAGUCACUAUUGACGGCUUUACCGAAUUCCAUUGGUACCUUGAAGCACUUACGAGAACUUGACUUGGUCGGAUGUUGGAUUAUAGAUGAACUCCCGAGAUCUUUCGAUAAGCUUCGCAGCUUGCAAUCGUUAAAUUUGGGAGAUACUGGUUUGAAGCAGUUGCCUGACAGCGUGCAAAGGUUGAUUGAGCUUAGACAUCUAGUAAUAACCAUUACAGCUACUCAUUUGAAAGAAAUACGAGCAGGAUGUUGGACUUCUCUUCAAUACUUGGAAUUGAGGUACUGUAUGGAAUUAGAAUGUUUACCUGAAGGAAUGCAGUAUCUGAAGUCACUUCGGACACUUGUCCUGGGUGGUUGUGUUAAACUUGUCUCAUUGCCACGGAGCCUGAAAUUCCUAACCAAGUUAGAACACCUUGAAAUAGUGAUGUGCCAUCGAAUCAAUUUGAAAAUGGAACCCGAAGAGGAAGAAGACAAAGACCUUCAGUUGAGCCUUAAAACUCUCUCACUCAUCGGAUUACUUGCCUUAGGAGAUUUGCCACGAUUGCUUCUUCAAGGAUCUUCCACUUUGCAGUAAUUACGAAUUAUGGAGUGUCGAAAUUUGUCCGUUCUACCAGCAUGGCUACUGAAUCUCACUUCUCUUCAUAAACUUGAGAUUGUGGGUUGCAGAAACUUUUCAGCUCUACCAGAGGGAAUAGACUGCCUCACCAACCUUAGAGAAUUGAGAAUUCACGGAUGUUCGGAGUUGAGCAAAAGAUACAGAGAAAAUGGGGGUGAAGAUUGGCACAAAAUUGCUCACAUCCAAAAGGUUAUUAUUUGUUAAUGAAGAAUGAGGUGUGUGAUAAAAUUUUAAUUUCUCUGUCAGAUUCGAUUCCAUAUUAUCUUUCCGUUUAGAGUAGAGUAGAGACGUGGCUUUUGUCCAGAAUAGUCCGUUCUAACAGCAUGGUUUUGGUUGGAAAUUUUGUAUGUUUAAAGUUUGUUAAGUACUCAUUGUGUUUGGAAACAUUGCAUGAAUGAAAUAUGAAGAUAGAGAUGGAAGAAUGAAGCAGAGGUUGAGGCAGGGCAGGGAAGACAUUUACUUUAUUUGCAUUUGGAUUUCAGUUGUAAUUCUAAGAAGUGAGCUGUUGCUUUGGAUAUGUAUCAACUUUUAGCUUUAUGCAUAUUUAUCUUUUCUCUUUAUGGUUUAGCAUCAACUAAUUGUGUUUGUAUUUUUUAGUUUAAUUUUAUUAAUUGUUUAUUUUGUGAUGGAGAAAUGAUGCGGUUGUUAUAAAAUUAAUAUUAUAACAUAUUUAAUUUUUAAAAAUUACAUACUUUAUUGAUUCGAUCAUGAUUAUAAAAAAAAGUAAUUCUAAAGAAUUAAAAUAUAUUUAUAAAAUUUAAAAAUACAAAUUACAAAAUAAAAAAAUAAAAAAAUGUUAUUCUUACAUAUUAAUAAUUUCUUUUAAAAUUUUAAAACAUAGUUUGUAACUUGAAAUUUUUAACCCCUGAAUAUUGACAUCAACAUUGUUUCUUUUUUUUUUUUUGAAAUUCAAAAAAAAAAACAUUGUUUCUUUUUUUUUUUUUUUACUCAAUGCUUUGCUUGGUAGACCAAAAAAUAAAUAAAAAUUGAAGUGGUAGAAAAAUUGAAAAAUAUAAAUUUUCUGGUAGGAAAGAAAAUUUGAUAGAAAAUGUAAUUAUCUUUCUAACCAUUGCUUAGUAGAGUUGAGAAAUAACAAGAAAGAAAACAAAAUAUUUAAAAAAAUGUAUAAUUUUGAAACUAACAUACACAUAUCUCUCUCAUUUUCUCUCCAUUCAUCAUUCCAAUUUGAAAGAAUUAAUUUUCCAUAAAAAGUACCAAGGAUCUAAGCAUUAUGAAAGUAUCCACAUUCGCAUUGGUUUUUUUGUGAAUAUUAAACACAAUUUAGUUGGUUUAUAUGGAACAAAUUGCCGUUAUUUUUAAGCUUGUCUUAAUCUAUAAUAUAUAUAAAAGUAAGAAUUUAAUUUUUUUUGAAUCGACGAUAAUAUCCUUUAAUGUUCAUUUAAGUACUAAAUAAGCAUUAAAUAAAUAAUUAUUUUUUUAAAAAAUAAUAGAAUUUUUCUUCAUUUGAACUAUAUGGUUAAAAAUAUUAGAUAAAAUCAUAUCAAUAAUUUUUUUAUCAUAGAGUUCUUAUUGGUUUGAGUUACACAGUUGAGUAUAUUAAUUAUUAAUAAUAUAUAUUAUAUUAAAUCAGUUACCAUUUAAUUAGUGUUACAAUUAUAUUAUCAAUUUAACUUAAAUUUAUCAUUAUAAUUAGCAUUCAAGGGAGAAUAUUAAAAUUAGUAAAUUUGAAGUCUCAAAAAUAAUAAAGUUUCUUUUCUCCUUUUUCCAUUAGUUGGUUUGAAGAAUGAUAAUGGCAUUAAACCGAAUAAGUCUCUGAAACUAAUCCGAGAUCGAAUAAUCAAUAGCUAUACCAAUAUAGAAACCAAGAAAAUGCAUAUUCCUCAGUUGUCAAUGAUUGAUAAAUGAUUAGUACACGAAGCAACAAAGAAUGUCAUGAUACUGUCAGUAAUGUUUACCUGGCAUUUUCUUAUCUUGAUUGUCUUCAUGUUCAUCGUUAUCACUCGCAUCACCGGUUUGCUUGGAUGCUGUUGAAUCACGAGGUAGUGGUCCGGUAAUUGACAGCUGAUAAAGAACCCCUACGGACAGCGUAAAGAGGAGGCACGUGUAAUGCCACGUGUUAUGUCGGAUGAGGGUAUAACAACACUAAUUGAAUAAAAUUUAUAUAAUUGACAAAAAAAUAUUUAUUAUAAUUAAUUACUUUUAUUUGCUGAAUUUUAAAACUGAUAGAAGUUAAGUUAGUCAAAAUUAUUGAGAAAGAGUGGAGAGAUGCUUUUAACAAUAUACAUAAGAAGCCUUUCUAUAUAUUGAGAUUUAAAUUUACCUGUGGAUUGUGCCAAUAGGCGUUUGUAGUCCAACGGUUAGGAUACUUUGAUAGUGCGUUUGUAGUCCAACGGUUAGGAUACUUUGAUAGUGGAUAAAUUAUUGUUCAGGUUCAUUUAAAUUUAGAUAAUUAUUUAUUUAAAUUUAUUUUAUAUGAGUGUAAAAUUAUAAAAAAAAUAAAUAUUAAAAAUAUUAAAAAAAGAUUCAAAUAUGUAAAAGAUUCAAAACAAUAAAAAUAAAAUAUUAAUAAUUUAUAAAAAAUUAAUAAAAAAACACAUAUAGAAUGAACUUGAGCCGUCCUCGGGUGUCUUCUUGUAGUGCCACGUGUUGCGCUGGGUGAGGAUAUAACAACACUAAUCAAUCAAAAUUAUAUAUAAUUGCGAAAAGUCUAUUUAUUGUGAUUAAUUGAUUUUAUUUGUUGCUUUUCAAAAUUGAUAGGGAUUAAAUUGCUCAAAAUCUUUUAGAAGGACUAAUUUUCUCAAUAUCAAAAUUGAGAGGGACUGGAGAAAUGUUAUUACCAAUAUAAUUGGGGGACAUAGAAAGCCUAUUAAGAUAUUUAAAACUCAAGUUUACUUGACAGCUGCAGCACCAGGCGUUUGUAGUCCAACGGUUAGGAUAAUUGCCUUCCAAGCAAUAGACCCGGGUUCGACUCCCGGCAAACGCAAUUGGAUUUUUUCAUUUUAAGCAAUUUCCCUUUUUCCUUGUUCUCCGAUGGAAUGAAGGUGGUAACUGGUGAGUGUUCGUUGGAUUAAAAGAUGAGAGAGCCAUUUGCCUACCAACACCAAUCACACACAAAGAAACAUUUGUGAUACUCAAAAGAGUGUGCUAAAAUCCGUGGUAGAACCCCCUACCCCUACAUAUCAAGCCUUUAAACAAUUUAUCCCUUUUUUUUUUUUUAUUCAUCAAAGCUUCACCAUUAAAUUUCUCUAAGGGAAGAUGAAAAAAAAAAUAGGGAAUGUGAAAAAAAGGCUGAAUAAUUUACGUAAUAAUUUUCAAAUUUAAACAUCAAACUAUAGUUGCUCUUACUCUAAAGUUUUCUUUAGGUACUUCAUAUUAGCAUCCGGAUACAUGAUAAGUUUAUAGUAAGUUAUGUAUCAUGUUUUUAGAGAAAAGUCAUGAAUAUUAGAAUUAGUCUUGAGAUAUAAAUGUCCGAAUCACUUUCAACUUAUGAGUUACUUUUUAUGGACAAAAUCGUAAAACCAAAUAGUUUGAAGAAAAAAAAUACAUUUUCCAUCAUGACACUAUAGCAUAAGGUUAUCUUUAGUAUAAUUUUUUUCUUCAUUUCCCAUAACAUUUUUCCAUAAAUUGGUAUUAAAAAUGAAAAUGAUAUUAAAUCAGACAAAUGCCAUAUAUGAAAUGAAACAACAAAGAAUACCACAGAUUUUAUUAAAUAGUGAAAAGGGCUAAUCAUGUUUUUAGAUUAAGGUACUUUCAUAAGUAUGAAGUAUACUAAAGAUUUCGUAAACUCUGAUAUUCUUCUUUAACGUGGCUUAAACAAAAACAUGUUUAUCAAACAUUUUUCUUAUCUUAAUUCUCUUCAUAAUCAUCAUUAUCAUUCAAUUUACCUUGAAUCGCAAGAUAACAGUCCGAUAACUAAUAGUUGAUAAAGUACUCCCUUUGAGAAGGCAAGAUGCAAAUGCCCAUGAAUAUGCGGUCAAAGCAAAAGUAUAAAUGUUCAUUUUUCUUCAAGAACGUCUAUCCUAUACCCAAAUAUAGAACUAUAAUCUUUAAUGACCUUCCAAAUAUAUCAAAAUUUUGAUAAAAGUAAAUGUAACUUAUGAAAAUCUAGAAAAAGAAGUUGACAUAUUGAUUGUAACAGUCCGGUUUUGACCCUAAUCAGUGUUGACACCAUUUUUUUUGUGAAAACGGGGUCGACUUGGAUUUUGAAAACGAAAAUGAAAAUGGGAGUCGCCAUCAAUCUUUUUUUAUGAGGUGUGAUUGGGUCACCUCGAAAAAUAGUUGCUUUUAAUAAACGGUUUAGAUUUAUUAAAACAAUGCUUUUGGUCUGCGAAAUUCAGAAAAAAAAUGGUCGGGAGUCGAUUACGUACGAGGAAGGAUUAACACCCUCGUAACGCCCAAAAAUUGGUACCUAGUUGAUUAAUUGGUGUCUUAGUGUCGAAGAUUUGAAACUUUGAAGAGUUUUAAAAAUACGAUCCUAAAAAAUCUGUAUAAAUCAAAUUACCCGUUAAGGCCCUCUCAUUUCGGAGAGAGAAAAUGUCACACCCAAUGAGUUAGGGCAUUAUGUUUCACCUCCUCAAAAAUGAGCUUGUCCAAAAAAACUCACGCAAUAAAAUUUAAAAGGAUAUUCAAUUGUUUAAGUCAGAUGAAAAAAUCGCAACCCAAUACAUUAGGGCACAAUUUCUCAAAAUUCUAAACAUUGAAUAUUGCUUUUUUUUUUUUUUUAAAUCCUCAUCUCGAAAAAAAAUGUGUCAUAUCCAAUGCGUUAGGACACAACGUAUUGAAUCCCCGACAAUGGGCUUUUUAUGUUAUUAUUAUUAUUAUUAAAGAGCAUUCUCGAUUAUUAGAUUCAACGAAGAAAAUUGGAACCCAAUACGUUAGGGCUCAAUCCUCUCGAAUCUAAACACGAAAUUUUGCUUAUUCAAAAGUUGAAACUUUUGCGUCGAGAUAAAUUAAUCUAAUUUGGAAUAGUGGAAAUGAAACACGAGGUAAAUAUGCGUACAAAGCAAUAUUAAAUGCGAUAGUAAAAAAUAAUACAAGCAACAACAAUAAAAAUGAAUGGAUAAAGAGGACAAAUUAAUAACAUGUAGAAUAACAAACAUAUGAACAAAUUAGAUUGAAAUAUUCUCUUAAAACUAAUAAUGAAAACAUGAAUAAAUAAUUAAAAUGAACAUGAACAAAGUGAUAAAAAUAUUAAAAUAUAAAUAUGUACAUAUAUAUGUAUGUGGAAAUUAUAAAAUAUAAAAACAAGACAACAAGGAUAUACGUAAAAUAUAUAAAUGAUGUAUGUGUAUAUAAAUUAUAAAAUAAAAAAAUAUAUAAAAAGGGCACUUUUCAAAAUAUAAAAAAUAUAUAAAUAGGUAUAUAUAUAUUUAUGAAAAAGAAGAUGUGUAUGUAGGUAUAUAUAGUCGUGUGUAUAAAUUAUAAAACAUAUAAAAAUAUAAAAAUAUGUAUAUAUGCAUGUAUAUAAAUAGGUUAUACAUAUGCAUAUUUUAAAAAUUGUGAAAUAUAACAAAUAUAUAUGUAUAAAUAUAAAUUAUAAUAUAUGUACAUAUGUGUAUUAUAAAAUGUAUAUAAGUAUACGUAUAUUUUAAGAUUAUAAAGUACAUAUAAAAAGAAUAUAUUUAUGUAUAUAUAUUUUAAAGUUAUAGAAUAAAAAACGUAUGUGUCUGUAUAAAUAUAAAAACAUAAAAUAUAUGUGCGUAUAUAUAUAUGUAUGAGUAAUUAUAAUAAUAAUAAUAUAAUAAGACAAAUAUAUUUACAAUUUUCAUAAAUAAGUAUAAAUGGAGAUAUAACAAUAAUAACAAUAAUAUUGAUAAUAAUACUAAUACUAAUACUAAUAAUAAUAAUAAUAAUAAUAAUAAUAAUAAUAAUAAUAAUAAUAAUAUAUUAGUUUUAAUAAAAAUAUAUGAUAAUAAAAAUAAUAGCGCAUAUUAAAAUAACGUAUAUAUAUAAAGAUAAAUGAAAAUAUAAAUAAAACAAAAAUUAAUAGUUAAAAGAAAUAAAAAAUACGAAAGGGAUUAAAUAGAAAUCAGAAAUAAAUUUAAGGGUGAGAAAACGAAACUAAAUAUUGUUUGGGGAUCAAAUCAGGAAACGCACAGAAAAGAAAGGACCAAAACAGUAAAUAUCCCGGUCCAUUCUAUACAUAGCGUUUCAGUAAGGACCGAAUUGAAAAUACAAGGAAAAAACGGGGUGAAAUUGCAAAAGUGAAAGAUAUUCAAUUGAAAACGCAAAGAAAAGCGGAAGGACUAGGGUAGCAAUUAUACCCUAGUCACAAAACACGCGGAUCUUCCUGGUAAACGGGUCAGGUCGAGUCAAAUGGCCUCAAAACGACAUUGUUUUGAGGCCGAAUGAAACAGGCCAAAACAGCGCCGUUUCAGAGUCUUUAAAAACCCUAAAAAAAAACCUAAUUACAUUUUAGCAGCCUCAACAAUAAAAAAAGGACAGAGAGCCUCCACCUCUUUUUGGCCCCCCGAACUCCGGCGCCAACCUCAACGGCGGUCCACCGUGUGGCCACCGUGGCCAAGGGCCGACGCGGCUCGAGAAGGUCCCCUUUUGACCGGGUCCAAAAAUAAACCCGAAGAUUCGGGUUUUCGACCCCCAAAACUAAAAAGGAAGGCCCUUAACCUUCUCCCUUUUUUAUUUUAUUAAUAGUUUUUUUAAAAGAAAAAACUGAUUUAAAAAGAAGAAAAAAAUGAUAAAAUAAAAAAAUCGAAAAACAGUAACCUUUGCUUUUAUUUCUGAUGUUUGUUCUCUUAAUAUUUGAUUCUUGAUGUCCCUCAAUUACAUUCAUUUGUUUGGCUUUUAUAGCCGUAUUACAUUGUUCUUGUGCUACUGCUUUUUCUCUGUUUCUUUCUCUGCUUUUGUCUUUCUCUUUUCUUGCAGGUGGUGGAGUCAAUGACGAUGGAGGGGCAGAUCCCCUUGCUAUUUUGGUGAAACAUCGACAGAGAGGGUCAGGCCUCGGGACGAGACGAGAGCGGAGUGCCCAAUGAGGAGCGGCGCACAUGGGAGCUAGGGUUUCUGAGAAUGAGUUUAGGUUGUCGGCCAACGGGCCGCUUAAGGUUUUGUUAUUUUGGGCUAUUUGGGCCUCUUUUGUAAAUGGACUUUUUUAUUAGUUUUAUUUGGUUUUAUUUUAUUUAGUUUUUGGCCUUACAAUCAGAACAGUAGUUUUGGGACCAUAAAUUCGAGUCAGAAAAAUAUUUAAAUAUUAUUAUUUGUGUUUAUACUAUGUGAAUUUAUAUCCAUGAAAUUUUCAUGUUUUAAUUUUGUCGUUUGAGUGCUGAUUUAAUAAAAAUGUUCAAUUGCGUAAGAUGAAAAAGUUGAUAGUUAAAUAUGUAAGGGCCGAAUUGUUGAUGUCUUUAUAGCAUGAGGUAUUUAUGAUGCAAUUAGACCAUUUAAUUCAUGCAUGGACACUUUUGGACAUGAGUUAGUGGAAAUGGAAUAAAAUUAUAAAGGUUAAAAAUGAAAAUAAAUAAUUAUAUGAUAAUUAAAUAAAACAAAAGCAUAAAAUAAAGCCAUUAUCAUCUUUGUUGGCCGAAUAUAGCAAAGAAAGAAAAUCAUCCAUGGCUUUUUAGGUUUUGGCUACUAUCAAGCUUAAUUCAAGAUUUGUUUUUGCUCGGUUUUUGAUAAUUUUUACGUUUUUGAGAUCGUUGCUAUGAAAUCUGUAAAGCCCAUGUUGUAAUUUUUUAAUUUGAUGAUGAUUUUGUGUUUUUCUAUUGAUGAUAGCUUGUGAUUUUUGUUAUUUGUUGAUAGAAAAUAAAAGAUAUGUGAUAGAUUAUAAUGUUUUGUCUUUGGAUUUUUGAUAAAUUUGAGUAAUUUGGGUUAAAUUGUGAAAAUAAUAUUUUGAGGGAUUAAAAUGUGAAAUAAAUGAAAUGCAUGGACUUUUAUGAGAAUGGUGAAGAUUCGGGCUAAGCAUGAUGUGUGCAAAAUUUGCAUGUUUUGUGUUUUGUGCAAUCUGGACUAAAUUGUAAAAAGUGUUAAAUGUUAGGGGCAAAAUGGUAAUUUGUCCAUUUAUGUGUUUUUGGGUGAAAUUGAGUGGAAUAAUAUUUGAAUGAGUUUAAUUUGAAUAUGUUUAGAUCAAGAACCAAAGAAAUUGGAUUUGGAUCGGGAAAAAACAAAAAUAAUCGAAUAGUCGUUUAUUUCCGUCCGUCGAUAUCCAAGGUAAGUCUAUAGCAUAUAAAUGCUGUUAAUUUUGAAUAUAUGUAAAUUUUAUAUGCUGAAUUGAAUUUUAUGAAUAUAAAUAUGUAUUGGCAGAAAGUGUAUAAGCUUAGGAAAUAUGGUUACGAGAUUGAUUCAAUUGAGUUACACCGUCCGAAAGUCCCAUGCGAACCUUAGGAAUAUUUAGGAUACAUAUGUCAUGAAAUAGAAUUUUGUUAUGUGUUAUCGUGUAAGACCACGUCUGGGACGUUGGCAUCAACUUGUGACUUACGUGUAAGACCUUUUCUGGGAUAGUCGCAUCGAUAUGUGAUUACAUGGAAGACCACGUCUGGGACGAUGGCGUUGUACGAAAUGUUCGAUUAUCCGAGUAUCCUUUUUAAUUUCGAAUGGUUCAACGGGCAAUAGUAAGUUAAGAUCGAGUGUAAAAUCGAGCUAGAAAGGAUCAGGUACGUACUCAUACUAAGUUAUAAAAAAAAUUAAGAUAAGAUGAAUGUUGAAUUGGUGGUAUAAUGUUAUAUGUUAAUGUGAAUUAUGUGAUAGUAUAUGUGAAUAUAUAUAUAUAUAUAUAUAUAUAUAUAUAUAUAUAUAUAUAUUUGGCCUAAUGAUGUAAAUGUAUUAUAAAAAGUAAUGGUUAAGUGUACUAAUAUUUGAAUGAGUAUUUGGCCAAAGGAGAAUUUAUGCAAAUUUUAUAUAUUUUGACUUAGGAAAUUAUAAGUUGGAAAUGUACAUGGAUUAUUAAUAGAUUAUUUCGAUUUGACUAGAUUAAUUUUGUAUAUGAUUAAACGUUUCCAUUGCUUAUGACUUACUAGGCUGUUAAAGCUUACCGUGUCUAUUUGCUCUUUGUUUUUUUUUUUAGAUUUUGAAGGUUGGUUAUGAGCUCGGGGAUCAUCAGAGAAGUCUCUAUCGACUCCUUUCGGUAUAUUAUUAAGUUGAAUUCGAACUUAUGGCAUGGAUAGGCUAGUUAUUAUACUUGAUUUUUGGGUAUGUAAAUAUGAGUCAUGCGAAAAUGGCUUAUUCAUUUUGGUUAAGCUUGGUUUUUAUGCUUUUGGUCUAAUGAAUAUAUAUAUAUAUAUACAUAUAUAUAUAUGAUGCUUAAGCUUAUGCAAAAUUUCGGUUAUGAUAUAUAAGUGUGAUGUGUUUGGCAUAUUUGUUAAUAGUUGUAUAAAUUAGCUAUAUUUGAGCCUAUUUCGAAAGCAAUAUGUGUAUCAUAGUUAUAUGAUGUAUUUAGUAUAUGCAUGAAAAUGUAGUCUCAAAAGUUGAUAUAAUUUUCUAUUAUUUGGUUUUGAUUGAAUAUGAAAUGAAUAGUCUUAUAUUACGGUUAAGUAAUGGGGAAAAUGAUGGAAGUAUUAUUGACUUAUGAUAUGUGUUAGUAAUUUCCUUGGAAUGAAUAUGCUAUGUGUAAUACUCAACUUUGCCCAGGGCCCAAUCUAAAACCCAAAAUAAAUAAACAUCAAAAAAUAAAACAAUAAACAGUCUAUUUUUACAAAUAACCCAAACCCAAAUGACCCAAUACCUAGCCCACUAACCUAAACCCUAGCCCAACUGCAAUGUGGUCCUCAACAAAAACACAACACAGCAGAAACCCUAAGCAGUGGCAACAAACCAGCGCCGCAACUGUCGCCCCUUUGCCUGCCUCCGUCGUAGCACCCACUCCGCGCACGUCGCGCACGUUCUCCUCCAGCACGUACCUGUAACGAACCACGAAUAGCAAAUAAUAACAAAAAAUAUAGCAAGAAUUAAGGGAUUUUUUUAUUUUUUUCUCUAAGAUUCGGCUAUAAAGACCGAAUGAUGAUUUUGUAAAGAGGGAGAGGAGUAGUAUCGAAAAGAGUAUUAAAAAUACAAAAACAGAGAAUCUAAAGAUUUUUGGAGGUGAUUUGUUUUUUAUUUUGCUCUUCGAGUUUUCUUCUUACUACUUAUAUAUACUUUUUGUUUCAUUUUUUAAAGAAAAUAAUAAAGAAAGAAAAUGAACGGCUUACAUGGCUUCGAGCACCGUUUGCGGUGGCUCCACGGUGGGCAUGGCGGCUGCCUGGGCAGGGUAUAAAACCCUAGCAGAGAACCCCAUUUCUCCUCUGCUUUCCUCUUAAAAGAAUGAAUGUUGUGGAGUGAGAUCUGAAAAGAAAGCAAAAGAGAAAUAGGGAGGAAGAAGAAGAAAUUAAGAGAAAUAGAAGAGAGAAGUCAGCAGAAGAAUACUUGCUUUUUCAUUUCAUAACCUCCCAUCGAUACUGUUUUGGUGUAUAUAGAAACCAACUAACAGAAUUCAACAAUAAGGUCUAAACACAUCGUUUUAGAAACAUCAUAAAAGGCACCGUAUAACUAAACUAAAACAAUUAUAAAAUGCAGCGUUUAAGACUCAAACAAUUAAAACAAUUAUAAUGAAAAUGUAGAUAAAAUGACCGUUAGCUGUUGCCAUAACAAUUGCCCCUCCUGCAAAAAUAUCCUUGUCCUCAAGGAUCAAACGUUGGAAAGCGUUGUUGAAGCUCCUGAAGCUUCUCCCAUGAAGCAUCCUCCGGAAAGGUGUCCGCCCAUUCGACCAGGACCUCCACAGCAGCAUGAUUCCCCUGUUUAACUAAAAGCCUAUCCAGAAUUCGCACGGGUGUCUUAAGAAGAGUGCCAUAAAACCCAAUCGGUGGAAAAUUUGAAGCACUCACCGCUGAGCCUAUAUGCUUCUUCAAUUGUGAAACAUGAAAAAUAGGAUGAAUACGAGCCGAUGAUCGUAGCGAGAGUUUGUAAGCAACCUAGCCGACUCGAGCUUCUACCGGAAAAGGUCUAAAAUAUCGAGGUGCUAACUUUUGAUUUUUAAACUUACGCAGGGAAUGUUGACGAUAUGGUUGCAGCUUCAAGUAAACCAAAUCGCUUACCUGGAAUUCACGUUCAGACCUUCGUUUGUCAGCCAUCUGUUUCAUCCGAUCUUGUGCCCGAGUGAGAUGGAACUUCAGAACCUUGCGCAUAGCCUCCCUAUUUUGCAAUGUUCUAUCCACCGUAGCCACCGGAGAAGCCCCCGCCACAUAUGGUAAGUGGAGAGGUGGUACUUGCCCAUAAAUAGCCUCGUACGGAGUAGUGUAGAUAGCCGAAUGAUAGGUAGUAUUGUACCACCAUUCAGCCAAUGGCAACCAAGCUGACCAAGUAGAAGGUUUCUCACCUACCAUACAUCUCAAAUACCCUUCGAGACCUUUGUUAAGAAUUUCAGUUUGGCCAUCCGUUUGAGGGUGGUAUGCCGUAGAUCGUUUCAAUUUGGCGCCCAUUUGUUUGAACAAUUCCUGCCAGAACGAACUUAGGAAAAUUUUGUCCCUAUUAGACACAAUAGACUCAGGAAUUCCAUGCAAUUUAUAAACAUGAGUAAGAUAUGCGUGAGCCACAGUAAGAGCAGUGAAGGGGUGAGCCAAUGCAAUAAAAUGACCAUAUUUGGUCAAACGAUCUACCACGACCAAGAUGGUCGAAUUACCCUGUGAUAGUGGAAGACCCUCAAUAAAGUCCAUACUGACAUCACUCCACGCCCGGUCUGGUAUAGGUAAGGGCUGCAAUAAUCCUGGUGAAGCAGAAUUUUUAGCUUUGCAACGCUGACAAAUAACACACUCACGUACCCAUUAUUUAACGUCCUUCGACAACCCUUUCCAAUACAAAUAUGCUAAAAUUCUAUUACGGGUGGCAUGGACCCCUGAAUGAUCUCCUAAGGCUGUGUCAUGGAAAAGACUAAAAAUAUGUCUUCGAAGUUGAGAAUCAUUACCGACCACGACCUUGCCCAACCGGCGAAGAAAUGUACCAUGCCAUGAAUAUUUUGGGUGCAUUUGAGGCUGAUUUCGAACGUCCUGACACAAUUGAAAAAGCUUCUCAUCUGUUGUGUAUGACUCAAUGAUACGCUCCCAUAUCGUGGACCAAUCCGGCUCAACAUUCCCCACACAUUGCAGCAACUGAGAAUCAGGGUCAAGGGGUUUCCUAGAUAACGCAUCAGCCACUGUAUUUUGAGCCCCCUUGCGGUAAACAAUCGAGUAAUCAUAACCCAACAUCUUAGCGACCCAUUUCUGUUGGAAUGGUGUAAUAGCCUGCUGAUCAAUCAGAAACUUCAAGCUUUGGUGGUCUGUUUUAAUAAAAAAAUGCCUUCCAAUAAGAUAAGAAUGCCAUUUUUUAACAGCUAAAAUUACCGCAAGCAUUUCCUUGUCAUAAAUGGAUAAAGCUUGAUAUUUGACGCCUAAUGCCUUGCUAAAAAAUGCCACCGGUUUACCCUUUUGUUGUAGGACAGCUCCCACCCCAUGACCGCUCGCAUCCGUUUCGACACAAAAGGGUUCUUGAAAAUUCGGUAAAGUUAAAACAGGCGCUUGACACACAGCUACCUUUAGUUGGUCAAAAGCUAUUUGUUCCACCUCUGACCAUUGCCAUGGAACAUUCUUCUUAAGUAAGGUGGUAAGGGAUGUGGCUAGAAGUCCAUACCCUCUGAUGAACCUUCUAUAGUAUCCCGACAACCCUAAAAAACCCCGCAACUCUUUAACUGAUUUCAGAAUAGGCCAAUCCAACACACCAUUUACCUUAGUUCGGUCCAUACUAACUGUACCUUUCGAUAUUACAUGCCCUAAAUAUUCCACCUGUACAACUCCAAAAAUACAUUUCGAUUGCUUAGCAUAAAGUUGAUGGGUCCUCAAUACCUGUAAUACCUCCUGUAAAUGAGUCAAAUGGUCUUUCCAUCCCCGAGAAUACACAAGUAUAUCAUCGAAAAAGACCAGUACUGAUUUUCUCAAAAAGGGUCGAAAAAUUGAAUUCAUAAGUGACUGAAAACUUGAUGGAGCGUUGGUCAAGCCAAACGACAUUACCAAAAAUUCGUAAUGGCCGGUAUGAGUUUUGAAAGUUGUUUUAUGCACAUCCUGCUCACACAUUCAAAUUUGAUGGUAACCCGAACGUAAAUCUAACUUGGAAAAGAAGUGAGCCUCCCCCAACUCAUCCAACAGUUCCUCGAUGAUCAGAAUAGGAAAUCUGUCUUUAACCGUCAAUUGGUUAAGCUGCCGAUAGUCUACACACAGCCUCCAACUACCGUCUUUCUUUUUAACCAUCACCACCGGAGACGCAAACGGACUAUUACUGUCUCGGAUAAUUCCAGCUUGCAACAUCUCCUGUAUGAGCUUCUCAAUGUCAGUUUUUUGAAUUACAGGAUAUCUGUAAGGUCGUACCUUAACCACCUUGGAUUCAUCCAUCAAAGGAUUUUUGUGAUCGUGUAACCGUGGAGGUGGUAAACUGGUAGGAGUUUGGAAAACGUCUUCAAAUUCAAUAAGCAGGCUACUUAGAUCGGAAGACAACUGCGUUGGACGCAUGGUCAAAGUGGUCUGCUCGCAAAAAGCUAAAAGCAUUGGGCAAGGGUCGUUACCCACUAAGCUCAGGCAUUUAGAUAGUUUUCGACUAGGAACAAUGUGCAUAGAACCCGGUACAGUACCACGCAAAGUACAGCUCUGUGCCAAAUGAGUAAACUGCAUAGUCAAGUUAGAAAAAUUCCACGCAAUUGAACCUAAAGAUAAUACCCACUGAAUACCAAGUACCAAAUCAAAACCCUUCACAGAUAGAACUAAGAAAUCCGUUGUGAACUUAUGUCCUUGUGCUUCCCAACCAACAGCCCUGCAUAGCCCUUGAGUACAUAGUCGGACUCCGUUUGCCACCAUAACUCUCUUAUUAGGACCCGAUUCUAAUGGUAACUCCAACCGUUUCGCCACCUUGAAGUCUAUAAAAUUGUGGGUACUACCCAAAUCCACCAAGACGAUCACUUCCAUAUGAUUAAUAACAGCAGGAAAUUUCAUAGUGCUAUGCCCUUGCAGCCCCUACAGCGCAUGUAACGACAGUACAUGAGUAGGACUCUCUAGAGCCUAGUCCACUGAAUCUAACUGCUACGGACAGUCUUGGAAGUCUUCAAGAGAAGGGCUCUUCGAAUCAACAUUAUAAUCCCCUAACAGCUCCACUACAAGUUGGUACACCUGAGAUUUUGAACACUUGUGGCCAGGUGAAUACUUCAAUCCACACCAAAAACACAAACCCUUUUUCCUCCUAUCUUCUAACUCCGCCUGGGAUAGGGAUUUUGAAGGAAUUCGUUGCCCCGGUUUACUAUUGUUCACAGGUUCCCCUGCUGCAACCACGUUUCCACCAUUACGCUGCAAUUUGGGUGUAGGGAAAAAAGACCUUGCUGUAUGAACUCCGCUACUAACAGGAGGCUCUUUUUUCAAAGACCCUAACACAAUGUUCUCCACUUGUCUUGCUAAGUUAUAAGCCUCCACCAAUGUUUGAGGUUUAAACAAACGGAGAUAUUGGCCAAUUUCAGUUUUGAGAUUACUAAUAAAUAUGCUUAACGCAUAAGGUUCUGGUAGAUUCAACUAAUUUAGCAGACUCAAGAAUCCAUCAUGAAACUGAUCCACUGAUCCAUGCUGUUUGAAAGUUACUAGUUCAGCCAUAGGAUCUAAAAAAGUCUCAGAUCUAAAUCGUUCUCUAAGUCCCCUUGCAUACACCUCCCAAGUCAACAAUGGUAACCCUCCAUGCCUACGUACAAAGAAAUGAUGCCAAUCUAGUGCUCUCCCUUCAAGAUGCAGCAUAACCACCCUAAUUUUUCCGUGGUCACCCACACCCUCAGCCUCAAAAUAUUGUUCCAAUUUUGACCACCAUCCCCUAAAAUUAUCUCCAUCAAAAUGAGGACAAUCAACCCGAAAAGAAGAAUGCUCAACCUCAGCUACACCCCCCCGAGAAGACAGGCUCGAAUGACCAAAAUCAUGCAUAGGAGACACUACUAAGGGUUCCUUUGCUGGAAACCCAGGAGGAGAACCUAAAACUCCUUUUCCCUUCCCGAUCACUGAACCCGAGACAGCCCCUGGUAGAUGCUGACCAAAGUAUUGUUCAAAUAAAGACUGGAUCUCCGAACGAAGCUCCGAUCGUACUUCAGAACGUACCUCUGUUUUAAUUCCUUCCUGAAAUUCUUUUAAUCGCGCAUCAAUUUGAGCAUCCAACUGAGUGAGCUCUAUUUGCAUUUGCGAAAACUCCCCUUGCAAUGUGCCUAAUUCCCGCUGCAUUCUGGUGGUUACUCCAUCCCCGGCCAUGAGAAUCGACGGCUCUGAUACCUUUGUUGUGGAGUGAGAUCUGAAAAGAAAGCAAAAGAGAAAUAGGGAGGAAGAAGAAGAAAUUGAGAGAAAUAGAAGAGAGAAGUCAGCAGAAGAAUACUUGCUUUUUUAUUUCAUAACCUCCAAUCGAUACUGUUUUGGUGUAUAUAGAAACCAACUAACAGAAUUCAACAAUAAGGUCUAAACACAUCGUUUUAGAAACAUUAUAAAAUGCACCGUAUAACUAAACUAAAACAAUUAUAAAACGCAGCGUUUAAGACUCAAACAAUUAAAACAAUUAUAAUGAAAAUGUAGAUAAAAUGACCGUUAGCUGCUGCCAUAACAAUGAAAUAGAAAUGGUUUUUCAAGAAAAAUUUUGAUUUAAGUAUUAAAGGAGAACGGCACCGUUUUGAGGUAAAGCCAUCAGUGCCAAAACGAUGUCGUGUAAGGCUACCCGCGUGAGACCCGACUCGUUUUCUCAGGAUCCCGUGUUUUUACUUUUAAUGGUCCAUUUUCGCAAUUGGUCCUUCGAUUUUUAGAAGCGUGUUUAAAUCAAUUUUUUUGUUUCUUUUAAAUUUGGCCGCAUGCUUUAUUUUUGUUUCAUUUCGAUCCUUAUUAAAACGCAGUAUUUUGGGGAAAAGGGUAAUUUCCCUUUUGAUCCCCCUCUGUUAUGUGCGUGUUCAAUGGGGUUCGCAUAUUUGUGUUUAUUUCGAAUUUGCUCUUAAAUUUUUGCCUGAAUUUCAAAUUAGUCAUUCUUUUUAUUUUUGUAUUAUUAUUAUUAUUAUUAUUAUUAUUAUUAUUAUUAUUAUUGUUAUUGUUAUUAUUAUCAUCAUCAUCAUCAUCAUCAUCAUCGUCGUCGUCGUCAUCGUCAUCAUCAUCAUCAUCAUCAUCAUCAUCAUCAUCAUCAUCAUCAUCAUCAUCAUCAUCAUCAUCAUCAUCAUCAUCAUCGUCAUCAUGUAUAUCUUUAAUGCCAAAUUUUAUUAUAUAUACAUGCAUACAUUUUUGUAAUAUUUAUGUACAUAUUUUUUAUAAUUUAUAUAUAUACGUACACUUUUUUAAAAUUAUUAUAAAUACAUUUUUUUGCAUAUUUCAUGUUUUUAUAGACAUAUAAAUACUUAUAUACAUGCGUAUUUUGAUACAUAUAUAUACAUAUUUUCAUAAUUUCCUUACAUGUUAUACUUAUACAUUUUUUAUUUUUGUAAAUACAUAUACAUAUAUUUUAAUAUACACAUGUGUAUGUACAUUUCAUGUUUUUUCAUAUCUAUAUGUUUUUUUUACAUAUUUCAUAACUUCAAAAUAUACAUGCAUACACAUACUCUAUAUUUUUAUAUAUAUAUAUAUAUAUUUCAACUCAUACACAUACUUAUGUGCACAUAUGUAUGUACUUAUAUUUAUAUAUAUUUCCUAAUUUUAAAACAUAUAUACAUAUAUAUUCUUCUUGUUUUUAUAAUUUUACGUAUAUACAUAUAUAUAUAUAUUUUAUUUCUUUCACGAUUUCGUUGUUUCGCACGGUUUACUUCUUUGUCUUUAUGUCCAUUUUAUUCAAAUAGCUUGUCUACUUAUUGAGUUGUUUUUAUUUUUCAUUGGUUGUUGCUCGUGCUACUCUCAUUUGCAUCACUGUAUUUAUCAUUGCUUGUCUUGCACGUCAACGAUACAAUUUAUUUUCGCAUUUUUAUGACUUCGUGUUUUAUUUUACUCGUUACAUCAAAAUUUGUUUCGAAUAAAUAACAUUUCGUGUUUUGAGAUUCGGGAAAGUUGUACCCUAACUUAGGGGGUUUCGAUUUCCUCAAUAAAUCCAAAUACACGAAUUUUCUCAAACAUUUUUUGAUAAUCUCGGGAACUAAUAAAAGAUUGUGUUCUAACUUACGGAAUAUGGUCUCUUCUAAAACUCGAGAUAAUUAAAUUUUUUUCAAAUAAAUAUUUCGGCAUUCAUUCUCGUAUCGGGAAUUUUAAACAUUGCGUCCUAACUUACGGGACAUAACUUUCUUUCUCGCUUAACGUGAAAAUAAGUCUGUGUCUCAAAAAUCCACAAUAUUUAUCUCAAGUUACAUGUUAGUCAUUAUUGUUUGAAAUGUUACAUUUUAGUCACUUACAUUAACAUUUUUUUACGAAAUUAUCGCUCUGCCGUUAAAAUUUGUUAUUUCUCAAACGAUAGGCCAAUAUGACAGUUAAAAUGAGUUUUAAAUAUUAACGAUAGAGUGACCAUUUUCUUUAUAAAACGAUAACAAAAGUAAUUAAAAAUAACAUUUUAAAUGGAAGUAAUUAAAAUGUAGCCUAAAUCAAAUAAAAAUGUUUAUUUGGAUAGUUUACCUUAUUUCUUUUUUUUAAUUUAUCAACACACCGUAGUUAAGUUCCAGCCAAGUCAACUAUGAAGCCUAGUCAACAAUCAAAAGCAGAUAUUUGGCUGAAAAUAAUAAAAUCAUUAUUGAGUGCCUCAAUCAUUCAUUUGCCUUCCUUCCCCUCAACCAUUCAAGCUUUGCUCUAGAAAUUCAAUUAUGGCGGAAACGUUUCUGUUCAAUAUUGCAGAAAGGGUUCUCGCCAAAAUUGGCAAUCUCUCUGUAGACGAAGUUCGCUUGGCGUUUAAUGUCAAAACCGAUCUGAAAAAGCUGGAGGACACCAUGAUCAGCAUUAAAGCUGUGCUCUUGGAUGCCGAGCGGCAACAGCACCAAAAUGAAAAGCUGUGCCUCUGUAUGUGGAAGCUCGGAGACAUCUUUUACGAUGCUGAGGACGUUAUUGACGAUUUCAAGUGUGAAGCUCUCUGGAAACAGGACGCCAUCAAUCAUCCCGACAUCAACAACUUAAAGGUGCGACUUUUAGGUUCCUGUUGUUUGCCUCUUUCAUUCUAUUUAAAAAUGAGUCAUAAAAUCAAAGACAUCAAUGGGAGACUAGGCGAACUUGCCACUGAGUGGAAAAGCUUUGAUCUAAGACAGUGUAGCGACAACCGACAUGUUUUUCGCAGAGAGACCAUCUCUUUUGUGGAUUCUUCUGAUGUUAUUGGUAGAGAUGAGGAUAAAAAGAACAUUAUUAGUAUGUUGAUGAAACCAAGUGAGGCUCGAAAUGUCCCUGUCAUUCCCAUUGUUGGAAUUGGGGGUUUAGGAAAAACCACGCUCGCUCAAUUAGUUUACAAUGAUGAUCGAGUUACUAGCCUUUUUCCUUUGAAGAUAUGGAUCUGUGUUUCUGAGGAAUUUGAUCUUUCUAGAUUGCUCAGGCUGAUUAUUCAGUCUGUAAAUACAGGAGAAAGAUGUGAUGAUUCAACCCUUGACGCCUUGCAAGCUCGUUUGAGAAGCCUUUUGACUGAUAAGAAGUUCUUGCUCGUCCUGGAUGAUGUGUGGAAUGAAAAUAAAGCAAAAUGGGUUGAGUUAAGAAAUUUGUUGAGAUCAAUAGAUGGCUUGCCUCAAAGCAAAAUAAUCGUGACUACUCGGAGUUUGAAGGUUUCCUCGAUAAUGAGUUCAAUUUGCCCUUAUGAAUUGAAAGGUCUUUCUUUUGAAGACUGUUUGACGUUGUUUACAAAAUGGGCUUUUAAUGAUGGUGAUGAGAGACAUUAUCCAAAUCUCAUUAGAAUCGGGGAGGAGAUUGUGAAAAAAUGCAAAGGGGUUCCUUUGGCAGUAAGAACAUUGGGAAGCCUACUGUUUCAGAAAACGGAUGAAUCUGAUUGGAUCUAUAUAAGAGAGAGUGAAAUAUGGAGAGUUGAGCAACAUGAAAACGAUAUUUUACCAGUGUUGAAGUUGAGUUACAAUCAUUUGCCAUCUCAUUUGCAACGAUGUCUUGCUUUUUUGUCCUUGUACAAAAAGGAUGAGAUCUAUUUUAGUUAUAGAGUUAUCAAUCUUUGGAUGGCAAAUGGACUCCUUGAGCAUCCAAAGCAAAACCAAGAGUGGGAGGAUGUUGGCAAACGGUAUUUGAAUGAAUUACUGUCAAGGUGCCUCAUCCAAAUGGAUCAGGAUUAUGGGUUGAUUUUUACCUUCAAAAUGCAUGAUCUGGUACAUGAUCUUGCAUUAGAUGUGUCUCAAAAAGAAUGUAAAACAGUGAAUUCGGAAACAGAAACGGUUGAUGAAAAUGUUCGCCAUUUAUUAUUAUGUGAUGAGAAGUUGGUUGGAGUUCCACGUGUUUUGGAGGAAAUGAAAAAUGUUCGAACAGUAAUCAUCCAAGAUGCUUCGAAGGAAUCAAAGACUACUCAUGAAUCACUUAUAAAUCUAUGUCUCUCCAAUUUCAAGUAUCUACGAGCAUUAGAAUUAAGGAAGUCACCAUUGAUGGCUUUACCAAAUUCCAUUGGUACCUUGAAGCACUUACGAGACCUUGACUUGGUCGGAUGUAGUAGUAUACGUGAACUCCCGAGGUCUUUCGAUAAGCUUCGCAGCUUGCAAUCGUUAAAUUUGGGAGGUACUAGUUUGAAGCAGUUGCCUGACAGCGUGCAAAGGUUGAUUGAGCUUAGACAUCUAGUAAUAACCAUUAAAGCUACGCAUUUGAAAGAAAUACGAGCAGGAUGUUGGACUUCUCUUCAAUACUUGGAAUUGAGGAGCUGUAUGGAAUUAAAAUGUUUACCUGAAGGAAUGCAGUAUCUGAAGUCACUUCGGACACUUGUCCUGGGUGGUUGUGAUAAACUUGUCUCAUUGCCACGGAGCCUGAAACUCCUAACCAAGUUGGAACACCUUUAUAUAAAUUUUUGCGCGAGCAUGAAUUUGAAAAUGGAACCAGAAGAGGAAGAAGACAAAGACCUUCAGUUGAUCCUUAAAACUCUCUCGCUCUUCGGAUUAGAUGCCUUAAGAGAUUUGCCACGAUUGCUUCUUCAAGGAUCUUCUUGCACUUUGCAGCAAUUACGAAUUAGGGGGUGUCCAAACUUGUCCGUUCUACCAGCAUGGCUACCGAAUCUCACUUCUCUUCAAGAACUUGAGAUUGUUAAUUGCAUAAAAUUGUCAGCUCAACCAGAGGGAAUAGACCGCCUCAGCAACCUUAGAGAAUUGACAAUUCACUUAUGUCCGGAGUUGAGCAAAAGAUACAGAGAAAAUGGGGGUGAAGAUUGGCACAAAAUUGCUCACAUCCAAAAGGUUGUUAUUACGGAUGAAGAAUGAGGUAUGUGGUAAAAUUUUAAUUUCUCUAUCAGAUUCGAUUCCAGAUUAUCUUUCCCUUUAGAGUAGAGUAGAGACGUGCCUUUUGUCCAGAAUAGUCCGUUCUACCAGCAUGGUUUUGGUUAGAAAUUUGGUAUGUUUAAAGUUAAUUAAGUACUCAUUGUGUUUGGAAACAUUGCAUGUACGAAAUGGGAAGAUGGAGAUGGAAGAAUGAAGCAGAGGUUGAGGCAGGGCAGGGAAGACUUUUACUUUAUUUGCAUUUGGAUUUCAGUUGUAAUUCUAAUAAGUGAGCUUUUGCUUUGGAUAUUUCAGACUCUUGCUUAAUGCCUUCAUGCCAUGGAUUGUAAUGUUUGUUUGAUAUGUAUCAACUUUUAGUUUUAUGCAUAUUUAUGUUUUCUCAUGCUUUAUUUGUGUUUAUGAUUUCCUAUACUUUCUUCUUCUUUUUUGUUCAUUAGUAUCAAUCGAGGGGCAAUUUAAAACAUUCUUAAAUUUGAUAUUUAAAUUCGAGUUCAAAUAAUAUUAAAAAAAUUACAUUUCUUUUAACUUGUAUAAGAUAUUCAAUUGCAAAGUCAUAUGUAAGUAGAGAAAAAUUGUCUCUGAACAUAUAAUUUAAUACCCAAUGCACACUCAAUUAAAUUUGAAAUUUUUAGUCCUGCAAGAUUUCGAGGUUUUUUUUUUUCCUUUUUGGUGAAUUGCAUGUUGGAGUUAGCAAGUUGCAAGACAUGUUAGUAAUUUUGUAUCGUUAAUAAUCAAGAUAGUAAAAUAUAAACAAAUAUUAAUUCAUUAAUAAUUUAAUAUUUUAAUUAAUAUUAAAUUAUAUUAUGUGGUCGGAUCAUAAUAUGAGAAAGACAAUUUUUAUCAAUAGAUAAUCUAAAUAGUCCGCGUUCUAAUCAAAAUUGAUGCGGAUAACUCCCUGAAGAUAUAGACAUAGAUGUCAUUGUCUGAAUUGACAAUAGUCGGACAUGAUCCAAGUUGAAUUUAUCAUAAAUCUUUUUAUGUAUUUAUUCAUUUGUGAUAUUCAUAGUGUGUUAUACCUUAAUCCUGAGUGGAUGAUAGAUUAUAUAUGCGUGACUUGUAUGCUUUAAUAUAAAUGAAAGCCCGAGUUUAAAUUGAUAAAAAAACCGAAAGGUAGUAUGUCAGAUAUACUACUUCUACAUGAUAUAGCACCAUUCCACAAUAAUGGAAUUCAUAGCCCUCUAAAGACAAACGAUAUUCUCUCAUUAACAUUACAUUGUUGAUAAAAAAAAACGUGACUACGGGUCAUUUGUCAUAAGACAAAUGAUUUAAUUAUUAUAUGUUAAUAAUUACUUUUUUUAUAUCAAAAGAUGUAAUGGAAAGUAUGAGAUAAGAUAGAAUCAUACAAGAAGAACAUAUUUUAUCUCAAAAAGAUUAAAGAUAUCCUAUAAGGGUAAUACACUUAUGACAAGGUUAUUAGACGGGCACUAAAUAAAGUAGUUUUGUAAUGAUAUACAAUAAGAUAGAGUUCAGUCAUUAUACUAUAGUGGAAUGACCCAUGAUUAAAUAAGUUGUAAUUAAUAGGUGAAGAGCUAAAACUUAAUUACAAAUUAUUUGAGCUCUAAUUACAUAUGUCUAAUAAGUCUCUUCUCUAGCUCGAGAUAACCCGAAACGAAUUACAUAUAGAAUUGAUAUAUUGUAGAAUGAACUAAAAUGAUAAGUAAAGAAAUAGAUCGUAUAUAUCACUAUCCGUAGUAAAUGUCUUUUCUCCCACUAAAUACAAAAGAUAACUUAGAAAUUAUUUUUUUUUAAAUUAUUUUUUAAUUAAUUGUAAUUAAAUAAUUAAAGUUCAAAGAAGGAAUUAAAUUACUUGGUUUGAAUAAGACAAUUAAAUUAAUUUUCUUAUAAAUUCUAAGACAGUAAAAUUGUCAUGACUUUAAUGAAAUUAGAGUUGAAUUAAGAAAAUAAUUAAUUGAAAAUUUAUUUUAGUUAAGUUAAUUAAUUAAAUUAAAUUAAUAAUAUUUUAGAUGAUAGAAAAUAGUUAUUUGAUUGGAUAAAUUAUAAAUGUUGGAUAAAAGUUCGAUAACACAUAUAAUUAUAUCCAAUAUACAAAAAGCUCAAAUAGACCUAAAUAAUACAAAGGGGUGGUAAACCCUAGUGUAUGCUAGGGCAUGUUGCCACCCCCUAGUUCUACUUCAUGUAGAACUCGUAUUUUUAUUAAAAUAUUAUUAUUUAAUUAGACAUUGUUCAAACAAAACUCUUGUAUCAUUUUUCUAUAAAUAAGAACUACGAGUAAACCUAUGAACAUACUUUGCAUACACUUUUGAGCAUCAAUAUUCUAUCUAAAAAUAGUGAUAAUUUUUUAAGAAUAAAUUCUAUUUUUCAUAAGAGUACUCAUAGUUUUUAAUUUAUAGAAAGAAUUAACUUUCCAACUGAAAGUUAAAUGAAAAUUUCAUUUUGUGCACUAAUUUGAUUUGUUUGUGCUUCCUUUUAAAAAGUGAGUUGUGCCUCGGGUAAGACUUUUUUAGCUUAGACCCGACCCAAAUUAGCAAAAAGACAAAAAAAUCUACUAUUUUCUUAUUUUUUUCCUAUUAUUUUCUCAUUAUUUUGUUACAAUUUCACUAUUAUGUUACUAUUUUUGUUGUUAUUGUUUGGAUAUAUUGUAUAACUCUUUGUUUAUUGUUAAUUAUGUUACUACUUUUGAGGCAUUUGCUUGAUAAGUUACACCUAUCUUAGUGUUAUUUAAGUAUAUAUUUUUUAAUUUGUUAAGAAAUAUUUAUUUUAAUGUUUUUAGUAUUUUUUAUAUACUAUAUUUUUUAUUUUUUAUAUACAAAAUAAUAUAAAAAAUUAAUUCAGCAGAACCGAGCAUGAGCUUUAGUACUUUUAUCCUGUUCGAACUUAGGCAAAAAUUUAAACCCAUUUUUCGGAUCGAAUUGAACUUGGAUCUAGUAAAUAAGUCUAAAAUUUGGAUAAGACAAGACCUAGCCCAUAUAUUGGUCUGUAACAGAAAAUGUUUAGUGGUCACUGUUUUGUUAUUUUUUAAAAGUUGAUUGACUAAGUUGAAACCUGAAUGAUUGUUUUGUCAAUUACUCUAAAAUUGAGUGAUGAUCGGUGUAAUUUACCGUAUUUAUUUCUUUCAUGUAAGAAGGAUUUUUCCGUUUUUCGAAUUAUAUGCGCCCCAGCUCAGUCAAGUAAAGUCAAUCAAAAUGACAGAUAUUUGGCAGAAACUUCGAUUUUGCUCAAAAAAUUAUUUUCACCUGAACAAGAAGGUUUGUUUUAUUUUUUUUUUCCGAUUUUGGGCUAUAACAUGAAAUUCUUUGUUUGAUUUUCUACCACAAAGAUAUUCUUUGUUUGCUUAGAAUGUGUUACACACUAAGCUCAUUAGCUUAUCUUUUGUUUGUUCCUCUCAAGUAAUCAGCAAACUUAGGAAGAGUUGGGUAGCAGGAGCUCGGAUUAAAAUAUUGUUUUUAAAUUUGUUUAAGUUAAAUUAUUAUUUUUGAACUACUUUAUCCUAUUUAGAAUAUUUAUUCCAAAUUGCAAGAUGUUAAAUUUCAAAAUCAAACUACGGUUUUCGAAACUCUGAUCAACUUAAAUUUUCUGUUGCAAAACUAAAUGAUUUUAUAAGUGUUGUUUUGCAAUAAAAAUGAAGUAACUUAAUAAGGCGUUUUUCUCUAGAAAUUGAAAAUAUUAUACAAAGUUUUGUUUUAUGUUACACUUUCGAAUUUUAGUUAUGGUUUUAAAACAAACGUAUGUAAUUUCUCAAAAUUUGACCAUAACGUCUAGGUCGGGUAUGAUGUGUUAUAUAUUCUUUAUUAGUUUAUAUAUUUACUUAAUUUAUUAUUAUUAUUAACUUAUUUAAUUGUAUAAGUUUUUUACACAUUCUUGUUUUAGUUUAGAUACAAUAAUUAAUACCCAUAAUCAUAUCUCAUUCUUAAUAUUUUAAUUUAUUUUACCCCUUUUCCAAUUAGGUCUUAAUUUAAUUAAAACACACUAUUUUCAAAUUAAAUAUCGUAAUCAAGUUUUGUUUUAGAUUAAUUAAUAUAAUAAUACAUGAUUAUUUUAUUUUAAUGCUUUAAUUAAUUUUUUUAACCUUAAUUUUGAUAUCCGUUUCAACCCCACGAUUAAUUAUCUGAUUCUUCUAACCCUUAUAUUUUGGGUAUUUCAAAUAAUAUUAAACCUUGAAUGCAAAGUGAUAAUAUGUCUAAUUUACAUGUUUAUUAUGUUUAAUUUUGAUAAAUUCUUGAAUGAGAUGUUACUAAUUUUAAACCUAUUAAUUAAUUUUUAAUUAGGUGUAAAAGCAAACCCAAAAAAUAAAAAAAUGUGGGCUGUCAUAAAAGUUUUGAGUAAAAAACUAAACUAACCAUUAGUUUGAAAAAAAUAAAGUAACAAUGGUGCUAAAAAAAAAUUGAAGAAAAGAAAAAGAGAAUUCACCUAAUACUUACUAUAUAAACUGUGGCAUGGUUCACUUACCCACCUUAAAAUCCCACUAUCCAAUAUAAAAUAAAUUAGUGGUAUAAUUUAAUUAUAUCAAUAAUUAAUUGAUUAGUUCUAUAAUUUAAUCAAAUUCAAGUAUAUGAUUCAAUUAAUUACAAGAUUACAAUCAUCAAUAUAGAGAUAUACAACUGAUAAAUACUCCUAAAAUUACUUAUACACCAUGACAUAUACAUUCAUAUAUCUGAUUGAUUCAAUAAUGAUUUUACGAUUAGUCAUAUAUUUUUAAAUUACUUGUACAUCAUUAAUUCUACAUAAAUUACUUGAUUUAUGGUUUAUUUUAAUUUAAUAUAAUAUUCUGAAAAGUUUAUAAAAUAAUAAAUGAUAAAUAAUAUUAAACUUAAUUAGUAUGAAAAGUGAUAAUACAUCCAAUUUACAUGUUUAUCAAGCUUAAUUUUGAUAAAUUCUUGAAUGAGAUGCUACUAAUUUUGGACUUAUUAUUUGAUUUUUGAUUAGGUGCAAAAGUAAACUCGAAAAGUUAAAAAAAGUUAAAAAUGCAAGCUGUUGUAAAAGUUUUGAGCUUUUAUUUUUGGAUUUAUUUGAAAAAUGGAUACUUUUAAUUUUAUUUUAUUUUUAAAUAACUCUUCAAUAUUAGAUAGAUGAGUAUAAGUAGUUUUAGGCGAGGUACAAGGGAGGGAGAAUGGAAUGGGGAAUUGAACUUCGUCCCUGAUCUCAAUUCUGUUAUAACUCUUUUCUUUACUUGUGUAUUAUUGCAUCAUUUACCUUUUUGUUUUAAGCUGAUAAAUAACCCUAUAGAUAGCUGUGAGAUAUGAACCUGCAUUUCAAAACUUUCGUUCCAAUGUUUAUUGUUUUUUCGGUUUAGGAGAUAGACUUCAUAGUCUCACAAAAUUAUAUUGACAUCAAGUUAAAAAGAAUUUGUUGAUUCAGUAUUGAUAAGCAUACAGUUGGAAAUAUCGAGUUGAUCUUUUAUCGUAUUCAAUCUACUCAAGAACACAUUGGCAUGUCCAAUAUUAAGUAGUUAGUUAGAUUUUGUUAGGAGGAAAUUGCAAUCAGUUUUGAAACGGUUGGGCCAUUUUAGUUCGCAAGGUUAUCGGAGUUAAAUCGUAGACUCGUGUUUCGUAGUUAUUCAUUCAAUAAAGGUUAGUUGUUGGACAUUCUUGCAAUAAAUUUACACAUAAAAAGGUUAAUAGUCCAAUAUAUCCUCGAUUAUUAUAAUUGACUUAUCGAUUAAAGAAGAAAACUUGCUAUUAAAAUACUUAUCGUAAAUUUAGUUAUAUAUGAACCCUAAAUAAAAUACUUCUUAUACCCAUUAAAACCAAACCAUUUAUUUAUCUAACUUAUAUUUAUUUUGGUAAAAGAAGACUUAUAUUUAUUUACUUUAUUCCUAAAACUUCAAACAAACCCAUCUUUAUCUUUUAAGUUUCAAAAAGAGGCUUGAAUUUUAUUUUUCAACCAUUUAAUCUAAAAAGAUAUUUUCUCAAUCCAAAACAAAGAUUUAAAUUAUAUUACCAUAUAUAAUUUAUGAAUUUAAUUUAAAUAAUAUUUUUAAUCUAUAUAUACCUUUUAAUGGGUAAACUAUCAAAAUAAUUACUUUUGUUUACCUCAAGUUACAUUUUAGUCACUAUUACUUGAAAUGUUACCAUUAACAUUUUUUUGCGAAAUAAUUACUCUACCGUUAAGAUUUGUUAUUUCUCAAACAAUAGUCCAAUAUGACAAUUAAAAUGGGUUUUAAAUGUAACAAUAGAGUGAUUGUUUUCUUUAUAAAAUGAUAACAAAAGUAACCAAAAAUAAUAUUUUAAACAUAAUAAUUAAAAUCUACCCUAAAUCAAAUAAAAAUGUUUAUUUUGAUAGUUUACUUCUUUCUUUCUUUAAUUUAUCAACACAGCGUAGUUAAGUUCCAGCCAAGUCAACAAUCAAAAGCAGAUAUUUGGUUGAAAAAAAUAAAAUCAUUAUUGAAUGCCUCAAUCAUUCAUUUGCCUUCCUUCCCCUCAAUCAUUCUAGCUUUGCUCUAGAAAUUCAAUUAUGGCGGAAACGUUUCUGUUCAAUAUUGCAGAAAGGGUUCUCGCCAAAAUUGGCAAUCUCUCUGUAGACGAAGUUCGCUUGGCGUUUAAUGUCAAAACCGAUCUGAAAAAGCUGGAGGACACCAUGAUCAGCAUUAAAGCUGUGCUCUUGGAUGCCGAGCGGCAACAGCACCAAAAUGAAAAGCUGCGCCUCUGUAUGUGGAAGCUCAGAGACAUCUUUUACGAUGCUGAGAACGUUAUUGACGAUUUCAAGUGUGAAGCUCUCCGGAAACAGGACGCCAUCAAUCAUCCCGACAUCAACAACUUAAAGGUGCGACUUUUAGGUUCCUGUUGUUUGCCUCUUUCAUUCUCUUUAAAAAUGAGUCAUAAAAUCAAAGACAUCAAUGGGAGACUAGGCGAACUUGCCACUGAGUGGAAAAGCUUUGAUCUAAGACAGUGUAGCGACAACCGACAUGUUUUUCGCAGAGAGACCAUCUCUUUUGUGGAUUCUUCUGAUGUUAUUGGUAGAGAUGAGGAUAAAGAGAACAUUAUUAGUAUGUUGAUGAAACCAAGUGAGGAUCGAAAUGUCCCUGUCAUUCCCAUUGUUGGAAUUGGGGGUUUAGGAAAAACCACGCUCGCUCAAUUAGUUUACAAUGAUGAUCGAGUUACUAGCCUUUUUCCUUUGAAGAUAUGGAUCUGUGUUUCUGAGAAAUUUGAUCUUUCUAGAUUGCUCAGGCUGAUUAUUCAGUCUGUAAGUACAGGAGAAGAUGUGAUGAUUCAACACUUGACGCCUUGCAAGCUCGUUUGAGAAGCCUUUUGACUGAUAAGAAGUUCUUGCUCGUCCUGGAUGAUGUGUGGAAUGAAAAUAAAGCAAAAUGGGUUGAGUUAAGAAAUUUGUUGAGAUCGACGAAUGGAUUUUCUCCAAGCAAAAUUAUUGUCACCACUCGGAGUUUGAACGUGGUCUCAAUAAUGAGUUCAAUUCCCCCUUAUAUUUUGGAAGGUCUCCCUCUUGAAGACUGUUUGACCUUGUUUACAAAAUGGGCUUUUAAUGAUGGUGAUGAGAGACAUUAUCCAAAUCUCAUUAGAAUCGGGGAGGAGAUUGUGAAAAAAUGCAAAGGGGUUCCUUUGGCAGUAAGAACAUUGGGAAGGCUACUGUUUCAGAAAACGGAUGAAUCUGAUUGGAUCUAUAUAAGAGAGAGUGAAAUAUGGAGAGUUGAGCAACAUGAAAACGAUAUUUUACCAGUGUUGAAGUUGAGUUACAAUCAUUUGCCAUCUCAUUUGCAACGAUGUCUUGCUUUUCUGUCCUUGUACAAGAAAGAUGAGAUCUAUUAUAGUGAGAAAGUCAUCCGUCUUUGGAUGGCAAAUGGACUCCUUGAGCAUUCAAAGCAAAAUCAAGAGCGGGAGGUUGUUGGCAAACGAUAUUUGAAUGAAUUACUGUCAAGGUGCCUCAUCCAAAUGGAGCAGGAUUAUUUGUUUUUUUUUACCUUCAAAAUGCAUGAUCUGGUACAUGAUCUUGCAUUAGAUGUGUCUCAAAAAGAAUGUAAAACAGUGAAUUCCGAAACAGAAACGGUUGAUGAAAAUGUUCGACAUUUAUUAUUAUGUGAUGAGAAGUUGGUUGGAGUUCCACGUGUUUUGGAGGAAAUGAAAAAUGUUCGAACGGUAAUCAUCCAAGAUGCUUCAAAGAGAUCAGAGUUUGUUGAUAAAUCUCUUCUAAAUCUUUGUGUUUCCAAUUUCAAGUAUCUACGAGCAUUAGAAUUAAGGAAGUCACCAUUGAUGGCUUUACCAAAUUCCAUUGGUACCUUGAAGCACUUACGAGACCUUGACUUGGUCGGAUGUAGUAGUAUACGUGAACUCCCGAGGUCUUUCGAUAAGCUUCGCAGCUUGCAAUCGUUAAAUUUGGGAGGUACUAGUUUGAAGCAGUUGCCUGACAGCGUGCAAAGGUUGAUUGAGCUUAAACAUCUAGUAAUAACCAUUGAAGCUUCGCAUUUGAAAGAAAUACGAGCAGGAUGUUGGACUUCUCUUCAAUACUUGGGAUUGAGGAGCUGUAUGGAAUUAGAAUGUUUACCUGAAGGAAUGCAGUAUCUGAAGUCACUUCGGACACUUGUCCUGAGUUAUUGUUAUGAACUUGUCCCAUUGCCACGGAGCCUGAAACUCCUAACCAAGUUAGAACACCUUGCAAUAAAGAGUUGCAAGAGCAUGAAUUUGAAAAUGGAACCAGAAGAGGAAGAAGACAAUGAUCUUCAGUUGAGCCUUAAAACUCUCUCACUCUUGCGAUUAGAUGCCUUAACAGAUUUGCCUCGAUUGCUUCUUCAAGGAUCUUCUUCCAGUUUGCAGCAAUUACGAAUUAUAAGGUGUCCAAAUUUGUCCGUUCUACCAGCAUGGCUACUGAAUCUCACUUCUCUUCAAAAACUUGAUAUUGUGGAUUGCAGAAAAUUGUCAGCUCUACCGGAGGGAAUAGACCGCCUCACCAACCUUAGAGAAUUGAAAAUUCACGGAUGUCCGGAGUUGAACAAAAGAUACAGAGAAAAUGGGGGUGAAGAUUGGCACAAAAUUGCUCACAUCCAAAAGGUUGUUAUUACGGAUGAAGAAUGAGGUAUGUGGUAAAAUUUUAAUUUCUCUAUCAGAUUCGAUUCCAUAUUAGAGUAGAGUAGAGACGUGGCUUUUGUCCAGAAUAGUCCGUUCUACUAGCAUGGUUUUGGUUAGAAAUUUUGUAUGUUUAAAGUUUAUUAAGUACUCAUUGUGUUUUAAAAUUUGCAUGUAUGAAAUGUGAAGAUGGUGAUGGAAGAAUGAAGCAGAGGUUGAGGCAGGGCAGGGAAGACUUUUACUUUAUUUGCAUUUGGAUUUCAGUUGUAAUUCUAGUAAGUGAGCUUUUGCUUUGGAUAUAUCAAAUGGCUUCAUGGGAUGUUUAUUUGCAUAUGUAUCAACUUUUAGCUUUAUGCAUUUUUAUCUUUUCUCGUCCUUCCGUUUAGCAUCAACUCAUUGUGUUUGUAUUUUUUAGUUUAAUUUUAUUAUUUGUUUAUUUUGUGAUGUAGAAAUGAUGCGAUUGUUAUAAAAUUAAUAUCAUAACAUAUUUAAUUUUUAAGAAUUACAUAUUUUAUCUAUUUGAUCAUGAUUAUAAAAAAUAAUUCUAAAGAAUUAAAAUAUAUUUAUAAAAUUACAAAAUACAAAUUACAAAAUAAAUAAAAAAUAAAAAAAAUGCUAUUCUUACAUAUUAGUAAUUUCUUUUAAAAUUUUAAAACAUAGUUUGUAACUUGAAAUUUCUAACCCCUAAAUAUUGACAUCAACAUUGUUUCUCUUUUUUUUUUUUUUUUUUUUGCUCAAUGCUUGCUUGGUAGACCGGAAAAAAAUUGAAGUGGUAGGAAAAUUGAAAAAUAUAAUUUUUCUGGUAGGAAAGAAAAUUUGAUAGAAGAAGUAAUUAUCUUUCUAACCAUUGCUUAGUAGAGUUGAGAAAUGACAAGAAAGAAAAUAAAAUAUUUGAAAAAAUUUGUAUAAUUUUGAACUAGCAUACACAUAUGUCUUUCAUUUUUUCUCCAUUCACCAUUCCAAUUUGAAAGAAUUAAUUUUCCAAAAAAAAGUACUAAGGAUCUAAACACUAUGAAAGUAUCCUCAUUCGCAUUGGUUUUUUCUGAAGAUUGAACAUAAUUUAGUUAGUUUAUUUGGAACAAAUUGUUAUUUUUGAGAUUGUCUUAAUCUAUAGUAUAUAUAAAAGUAAGAAUUUUAAUUUUUUUUGAAUCGACGAUAAUAUCAUUUAAUGUUCAUUUAAUUACUAAAUAACCAUUAAUAAAUAAUUUUUUUUUUAAAAAGUAAUAGAAUUUUUCUUCAUUUGACCUACAUGGUUAAAAAUAUAGAUAAAAUCAUAUCAAUAAUUUUUUUAUAAUAGAGUUCUUAUUGGCUUGAGUUACACAGUUGAGUAUAUUAAUUAUUAAUUAUAUAUAUUAUUUUAAAUUAAUUAUCAUUUAAAUAGUUUUACAAUUAUAUUAUCAAUUUAAUUUAAGAUUUAUCGUUAUAAAUAACAUUCACAUUAUGGUUAUAAAGUAUAUUUUCUCUUUUUACCAUUAGUUGGUUUGAAGAAUGAUAAUGGCAUUAAACCGAAUAAGUCUCUGAAACUAAUCCGAGAUCGAAUAAUCAAUAGCUAUACCAAUAUAGAAACCAAGAAAAUGCAUAUUCCUCAAUUGUAAAUGAUUGAUAAAUGGUUAGUACAUGAAGCAACAAAGAAUGUCAUGAUACUGUCAAUGAUGUUUACCUGGCAUUUUCUUAUCUUUGAUUGUCUUCAUGUUCAUCGUUAUCACUCGCAUCACCGGUUUGCUUGGAUGCUGUUGAAUCACGAGGUGGUAGUCUGGUAACCGACAGCUGAUAAAGAACCCCUACGGACAGCGUAAAGAGGAGGCAAACCAAACCGAAAGGUGUGGCAUGCUUAUCCCAAAUCAAUACAUUGAUCAUAACUGUGAGGAACUUGUUAACCACGAUGGUCACAGUAAAUGCAGUGGCGAAGACGGCCUUCCUAGCCGCGAAUCCGAAGAAACUAAUGAGCAAAGCGAACAAGCACGACAACGAUACAGCAGUCAACAAUCUAAUUCCUAAGAACAAAUUAACAAAAUAUAAAUGUCAAUUAAAUAAUAUACAGCAAAGCACAAAAUUAUAUGAAUUAUUAAUAUAUCUAAAAUUUAUAAAUAUGUAUUGAUUAAGUCUUAAUUUGAUUGUUGUUAAUGUAAGAGGACGUGGAUCUGAGGGCGCUAAAGCGCUUUAUCUUCUAAUCUAAAAUUUGGGGAGGGACUCAAUGAAGAAUUAUCCUAAUUAUAAUGUAAAGUAUUUAAAAGUUUUAAAAAUAUAUUUUAUUAUAUUUUUAUUUCAAUUUUUUUAUAAACUAAUUUUUUUCAAUAAAUAAUGCCGAAAUUAGUUAAAGUAAUAAUUUAUUAUUAAUCCAAAUAAAAUCAAACAUAUUAAGCUAUUUUGUAGCAGCUGCAUUUGUUAAGAUUUUGGAGGAAAUUUUAGAGUUGACAAAAGUUUAUAUAAUUUAAGCUUAAUAUCUUGUAAAUAAAUAAAAAUCAAUUAAGUUUAUAGAGAAAUUUACCUUAUCGAGCUAUUAAUGGCAAGAAAAAAAUUUAAUUAAACUCUUCUAUUAAUAGAAAUUGUUAGUUGAUCGGUUUAACUAUUAAUGGUAAAUAUAUAUAUACGCGUCUAGAAUGAACCUGAACAACCAAAUUAUUGUCCAGGUUCAUUUAAAUCUAGACAACCAUUUAUUCAAAUUCAUUCUAUAUGAGUGUAAAACUAUAAAAAAUUUAAAAAUAAUAAAGAUUAUAAAAAUAUUCAAAUAUGUAAAAGAUAAAAAAAUAAAAAUAUUAAUAAUUUAUAAAAAAUUAAUAAAAAACACAUUUAAAAUGAACUUGAGUCGUCCUCUAGUGUCUUCUUGUAGUGCCAUGUAUUGCGCCGGGUGAGGGUAUAACAACACUAAUCAAUCAAAAUUAUAUAUAAUUACCAAAAAAAUAUUUAUUGUAAUUAAUUGCUUUUAUUUUCUGAUUUUCAAAAUUGAUAGAGUAUAAAUUGCUCAAAAAUUUUGAAAAGGACCAAUUUUCUCAAUAUCAAAAUUGAAAGGGAGUGGAGAGAUGUUUUUACCAAUUUAUGUUUACUUUGUAAGCUGAAGCACCAGGCGUUUGUAGUCCAACGGUUAGGAUAAUUGCCUUCCAAGCAAUAGACCCGGGUUCGACUCCCGGCAAACGCAAAUGAAUUUUUCAUUUCAAGCAAUUUCCUUUUUUCCUUGUUCUACGAUGGAAUGAAGGUGAUAACAACAUGAGAGCCAUUUGCCUACCAAAAAAACCACACACACAAAAAGAGAAACAUUUGUGAUAUUCAAAAGAGUGUGCUAAAAUCUGUAGUAGAACCCCUUACCCCUACCCCUACACAUCAAACCUUUAAACAAUUUGUCCUUUUUUUAAUUCAUCAAAGCUUCACCAUUUAAUUUCUCUAAGAGAGAUAUGAAAAACAAACAGGGAAUGUGAUAAUUUUCAAAUUUAAACAUGAAAUAAUAGUUGCUCUUACUCUUCAGUUUUCUUUAGAUAUUUAUAUUAACAUUCAAUAAAUAUCCAAAUAAAUGAUAAAUCUAUAGUAAACUAUAUGUCAUGAUUCUAAAGAAGAGUCAUGAAUCACACAUUAACUGUAUAUUAGAAUUGAUAUUGAGAUAUAAAUGUUUAAAUCAACUUGUAAGUUACUUUUUGUGGACAAAGUUAUAAAACCGAAUAGUUUGAAGAAAAAAUAUAUCUUCUAUCAUGACACUAUAGCAUACUGUUAUCUUUAGUAUAAUUUUUUUCUUUAUUUCCCAUACCUUUUUUCGUAAAUUGGCAUUGAAAAUAAAAUGAUAUUAAAUUUUAUUUUUCGAACAUUCCCCCAUUUAAUCUAAAAAAAAAUCCUUCUCAAUCCAAAACAAAUAUUUAAAUGAUAUUACCAUAUAUAAUUUAUGAAUUUAAUUUAAAUAAUAUUUUUAAUCCAUAUAUUUUUUAAUAGAUAAACUAUCAAAAUAGUUACUUUUAUUUACCUCAAAUUACAUUUUAGCUAUUUUUGUUUGAAAUGUUACGUUUUAAUUACUUAAGUUAUAAUUUUUUUAAUGAAAUUAUCAUUCUGCCAUUACAAACAACAUUCCAGUAUGAUAGUUAAAAUAAGUUUUAAAUGCCAACGGUAGAAUGAUCAUUUUCUUCGUAAAAUGAUAACAUAAGUAAUUAAAACAUAAUAUUUUAAAUAUAAACAACUAAAAUGUAACCUAACUAAUAAAAAUAAAAAUGUUUAUUUUGAUAGUUUACUCUUUUUUCUUUUUUCUAAAUUUAUCAACACAGCGUAGUUAAGUUACAGCCAAGUCAACUAUGAAGCCUAGUCAACUACCAAAAGCAGAUAUUUGGCUGAACCACAAUCACAAAAUUUAAUGAAUGGCUACUUCGAUAAGAAAAGAAAAAAUAAAAUCAUUAUUGAGUGCCUCAAUCAUUCAUUUGCCUUCCUUCCACUCAAUCAUUCAAGCUCUGCUCUAGAAAUUCAAUUAUGGCGGAAACGUUUCUGUUCAAUAUUGCAGAAAGGGUUCUGGAAAAACUAGUCCAUCUCUCUGUACAAGAAAUUCGCUUGGCGUUUAAUGUCAAAACUGAACUGGAAACGCUGGAGGACACCAUGAGCAACAUUAAAGCUGUGCUCUUGGAUGCUGAGCGCCAACAGCACCACAACGAGAAAUUGCACCUCUGUAUGUGGAAACUCAGAGACAUCUUUUAUGAUGCUGAGGACGUUAUUGACGAUUUCAAGUGUGAAGCUCUCCGGAAACAGGACGCCAUCAAUCAUCCCGACAUCAACAACUUAAAGGUGCGAGUUUUAGGUUCCUGUUGUU
rnacentral:lncRNA from 1 species